UUUUUUUUUUUUUUUUUUUUGGUUCAAGGUUCAGGUAUGAGGGAGGGGGUAGGGUGAUGGGAUCUGGAUUUUCUCUUUCUUUUUUUUUCUUUUUUAUUUUAGAAGAUUUAGGUUUUUUUUUUAAAAAAAAAUAAAAAUUGAUUUUUUUGCCAUGUGGCACACAUUUGGCAGCCACAUCAACACUUAAUGGAUCAAUGGAUGGAAAAUGUAAUGAAUGUAUUAUUUUGAAAUAAAAUAGUAUAUGAGGUAUGAAAGUGAAAUGUUUUAAAGAUGUUGUAAGAGAUUGUAAUAGACCUUAAACCUGAGGGGCUACUUUGUAAUUUACCCCGUAUAUAUAUGUAGAGAGAAGAAUUAGAAAAUUAAAGAGAGUAGAAGAAAUACACAGUGUUAGGAGUGAUCAAGUAGCAUGCUCAAGUACGUCGAGUUUAGUUAUAUAUUGCAGUAGUGAUGUAGAUGUUCGUUUUAGUUUUGAAAUCGAGGAAAGGUAGUUUCUUGGGGAACUUAUCAUUAUUGGGGUAUUUGUCUUGUUUAAGUUUUGUGAAAUAUGUGUUAAACUUGAUAUAUCUUUAUAGCUGAUAUAAGUGUAUUUUGGAAUAUGGUAUUCAUAUUACUGUUAUUGCCGAUAAUGAUACCAAACUGACACACUCGACCUGGAAUAUCCAUCUAGACGCCCGAAUCAAGCCGUGCUAGUCGAUAUCCAGAAAGUGACGAAGUCAUAAACUGAUAUGAUGUGGAAAGUGCUACUAAUUUAAAUCUAAAGUAAGUAAUUCUAGAGUGCACAUGUGAGUAGGACCAACUCAUUUAACAGAAGUGAUGUUCAAAGCAUAAGUAAAUUGCAGUGAAAAAAUCGUAAGGACAUUUAUACAGAAAGAAAAAGUCUCAUACAUGAUAGCUUUUACCAGCAAUCCUCGUCGUCACGAAACUCUUGCCGCUAAGAUUUUGGAGGGGCGAAAAAUAAGGAUGAGUGCCUAAAAAUAAAGUUUUGUAAAACCUUUUUGAAAAGUGUAAUAUUAUAAUAAUAGUAUGUAAUAUGUACCCGGCAUUGGAUAUUGAAAUAAUGUUGAUUAUAUGCAUAUCAUUUCAUGUUGGAGAGGAUGGAUUUUAUUGGUUUAUUCGAGAAUGGGAUAUGAAAAUGGAACUAUCUUUUGUGUUCAACUCUAGUAGGAACUAGCAAGGGUGGCAAAAGUGAUAUUAUAAGAAUGAUAUGACAUAGUGGGGACACUGGCAAUCGAGAGAAGAACAAGAUGACCAACAAAAUGAGAACUGGGAUGAUUGAGUUGUCGGGGUUAGUUUGUAUAUUAGAGCAUUUGGACCACCCCUAUAGUGGUAAAAUGCAUAGUAUGGGACGUGUAGAUCCACGCGUUUUUAUUAUAUAAAUUGAUGGACUAGGUGAUUGAAGUUAAGCUACAUUCCUGGUUUAUUAGUUAAAUUGUGAUUAAUGAUACAAAUGUUAUAAUCAGGGACGAAGCCAGAAAUUUAACUAAGAGGGGGCAUCUUAAAAAAUUUGAGCUCUUUUUUUGGACAAAUAAAGCUAGUUCUUUUACAAAUGCUGAAAAAAUUAAUUACAAAAUGCCUAAUUUUAUUACUCUAUUGUCUAAUUUUGUCUUUAAUUGUUGACAAUCUAAUGCUCAUUUGUACUAAUUAACCAAGUACAUGCAACUCAACAAGGUUUAGACAUUAGUGCAUGAGAAAAAUAUACAAGACAGAGGGGCAUUUAAAAACUAAAAGAGCAUUUUCACUAUUUUUAAUAUGAUUAAUUGAAUAAUCCACAAAGCAUGAUUAAUUGAAUAAUUUGUAAUGAAACAAAAGGGAUGAGAGGGGGCAUGUGCCCCCACUAGGCCUUACCUCCCUCCAUCCAUGGUUAUAAUUGUUUAUGUGCUGCAUGACACUCGGUUUAGCCUUGACAAUUAUCCUUGAUAAGACUUAUGUCCCUCUGAGCUAUGGUCUCACUCACCCUAUAUAUUUUAGACCUUGCAGGUGUGGUACAAGAUUAACGAAGGGUAGAAGAGCUAAGAUUGUGUUCAAUGAGGGAUUUUAAGGUUUAUAUUUUAUUUUUGUACACCCUGUAAAAAUUUUGGAGUUAUUUUAUAAGAGAAGUUUGUUUUUCGAUUUAUUUUUACUUUUACUCGUGCAUCGGGCGCAGGUUUAUUUUUUCAUCGACCACGGGUCUAAGGCGUGGCAAAACUUUUUACUAAAAUUUUCAGGAAUCAAAGUAGGAAUAGUAUUGAACCAUAUAAGUUAUCUACUAAUUCACAUAAUCUGAGUAAGAAUCUAUGUUAUUACCCAAAUGCCCCUAUUUUAGUAAUAUAUUUUAGGAAAAUACCCCAAAAUGGGACAAUUUCUUAAUCUUGGAAACAAAAUAGGACAAACCAGCCAUACACAAGUCAUGCACACUAUGCACAAGCCAUGCACACCAUACACAAAAUCGAAAUAAAAUACCCAUAUAUAAAUGGGUUAUUCCUCUCAUUCUCUCCCCCAUUUUUUGAUUUCUCUUUCAACUCUCUCUCUCUCUCUCUUCAUCUCUCUCUUCUCUCACUUUCUCUCUCUACUCUCUCCCCCUUCCUCAGAUCUCUGAGCUUCGAUUUUGAAGAGAUGGAAGUCCAAAGAAAGGCGAGAAGAGUGAGCUGGCCUUUGGGUUCACCUCAUACCUCUGAUUUCGAACAAAGGGAUGUGAGAUAGAAGUGAGAAGCGUGAGUUGGGUUUUGUUCCAUAUUUUCUAUUUUGGCCGGAAAGUUCCAUUUUUUCUAGCGACUAAAGCUUCAGCAGGCAUAGUAAGGUAGGGUGUUUAUUUCCAAGUUCCUUCAUCAAUGAUUUAUAGAAUAAAUGGGUUGUUUGUAACAUGAAUUAAUACUUAUAAGUUAAAUUAGGGUUUGUGUUUCAUGUUGGGGUGUAUGGGUUGUGGAAUAAAUUUCAAGUUUUGACAUGCUACAAGACUGGGAUGGAACAAUUUCUGGUUCAAGUGUUCAAUUGCAGAAAUUUGUGAAAUUUUUUCCGUAAUGUGCAUGUGGUGUGCAUAUGGUGUGUAUGGCUACAUCUUAAUAUGAAAAGUGGGAAUGUUCACUAGUUAUGAUGCACGUAUGUUGUGCCUCAUAAUUUAGUGAGUAUGACCACAACCUAGGGGCCUCGUAGACAAACAAAAUUAAGAAAAAACUUAAAGGACGUUAAAGGCCAUGCGUGUACGUGAAAUAACGACAAUGAGUAUCAUAUUUUCCAUGUGCACAGUUAAGCGGUGGUUGAUAUACGUAACAAGCCUUUUUAAAUUGUCACUGUAACCUUAUAUAAGUUAUAUACAUAACAAUUAUGUUUUAAUUGUAUCCACUAUACCAAUAUCUUGUCGUUAAAGUUUCUCUUGUUCUGUGCAUAUGAUGCGCAUGUAUUGUACAUAUUAUGUGCAUGUGGUGUGCAUAUAGUUUAUUAUGUGUAGAUGGUGCGUAUUUACAUCUUUGAUACUCUUCGCAUUAACGUAGUUUACUACUUUUUCCUUUGAUUCAGAGGCAAACCCUGCAAAUACAAAAAAAGCGAAUGAGUUCAUGAAACAAUUUCCUUUUAUUUAGUUGGGUUUUUCGUGCCCAUUCAAACUGCAAUUUUUUCAAAUCCUUGAAAUAUUUGAACCCAAUCAAAUUUGAUACCAAAUUCAAAUUAAUGAAUCUUUGAUUCUUCAUGUAAAGUUUAGGGUCGUUUAUCUGAUUGCAUCAUUUUUUUGAUUUCGAAGAGAGAGUUGUGAGCUAUGGUUUUUGGAUUGAGCUCAGAUCUAUGAGCAUAAUAUGUGCAUGUCCUGUACAUGUCAUGUACAUACUGUGUAUGAGGAAGCUUAAUACGAAGAGAGCGAACGAGUACGCGAAACAGUUUCAUCCAUAUCCUUCUUUCUUCCUUCUUUCCACUCUGAUUUCUCUCUUUUCCCUUAAAUUGAUCUCUUCUCCAAAAGGCAAUUGACCUUUAAUAUGUUUUUUCAUUUAAUUGCAGCAAAACCCAAAGCCUAUUUUAGUAUUUGUAAAUUUGGACCGAGAGAGGGAAAAGACAGAAGAAAUGAAAACCCACAUAUAAAUCAGAGAAAUGACAACAAAAAAAAAAAAUCAAAAUCAAAAUUGAAGGAUUUUGGGUCUCCUCCAAGAAAAACCAAACCAAUCACUUCAACUCCAAAAGUCCAUAAAUCAGAAAGCAAAAUUAAGCAAACCCAAUUCAGAAAACCUACGAAUGAAAAGGUAAAAAUCGAAGAAGAUGAGUGGGUUAGAGAGAGCUCUUGUGCAUAUUCGAAAUGUUGAGAGAGAAGAGAAAGAGAGAAAGAGAGGGAGCUUGGAUGAAGAAAAUGGGUGGGUUAGAGAGAGCUCUUGGAUGAAGAAGAUGGUUGAGUUAGGGUUCUUUGAACUAGAAUUGGGGGAGAGAGAUUUUCUCUCUCUACAAAAUGAGAAAUGAGAGUUGGAAUUUCUAGAUAACAUAUAUAUAUGGGAAGACAAUUUGGUCAUUUCAAGGUGUAUGAAAUUUUUUGUUUUUGUUCGAUUGUUGUGCAUGGUGUGUGCAUAUUUGAAAUGUCAUAUUUAGAUCCCAAGAUUAAGAAAUUGUCACAUUUCUGGGUAUUUUCCUAUAUUUUAUGUGCUAUUUCUUUUAAUUUAUUUAUUUAUUUGGUAAAACUUUAUUCUAUUUUAUUUUAACUUUGUAAGAAUUUUUUUUUUUUAUUUUUUAUUUUUAUUGAGAGAACAAAAUAUAGUGUUGAGUUAAUGCAAAGGGCAAUCGGAAUUGAGAAAUAAUUGUCACAGCCCGUCCCAGAGAAGUAUAUUAUUUAAUUAUCGACGGCGUGAAAUUACCUAAAUACCCUUGGACGUUGAGAAUUAUUAUGGAGUGUUAUGGUUUUGACUUAAGGUUGUGGACCUAUUAGUUCUAUUCCUCUAUUAUUGGACCAAUUAGAACUAAGUGUUCUCUUAGUUUUGAUUGGUGGCUUUUGGACCACACACCCACCUACUCUCUCUCUCUCCUUCCCGUGCUCUCUUUCUCAGACUCUCUCUCCCUCUCUCUCUCUCUCUCUCUCUCUCUCUUUCUCUCUCUCUCUCUCUCUCUCUCUCAUCGAACUCAUACGGACGCACACAAACAAACUCAAAUCAACAUGGAUUGAAGGUUCUGAGGUCUCUAGUGUGUUCCUAGGAUUCUUACGAGUCGAGUGGUACCCAUUUUCAGCAAGGAAACCUUUGAGAAACCCUAGUUUGAAAGAGAGCCGUGGGUGUACAGUACACCAAAACAGUUCGUGGAGGUUUCAAGCUAUUCUAAGACUCAAAAGGUAAUCUCCUAGUCAUCUGGUUUGUUUUGGCAUAAAUUGGAACAAUUUUGGACGUCAGAAAACCCCGAAAAAUGGACCUUCGACUUGGGUACUAUUCAUCAACUUUUAAACCCUUGAGUUUUUGUGAAUUUUAGGACCACAGUGAGCUCAAGGAGAUCCUCACGAUGCUCGGAGUGCAUCGUUGGUAGGAUUUGGGUCACGGGAAGCUCGAAAACGGAGUUUUGCAGAGGUCGCUGGAGUUUGAGGACUUCUUCGACUUGAUUUCACGAGAUUUGAGGCAUGAAAGAGGUAUAACGCAAUUCUUUACCUCCUAAACUUCAUUUUGGUGGAAAUUGCAUGAAAAUGGUGAAGAAAUGAGCGAGAUUAAAGAGUUUGAAAAAUUGCCCAGUUUCUGGCGCCGGUGACGGUUGCCGGAGCUGGAGGUAGGAGAUGAAGGAAUAUUCUGUCAAGUCUGACGGAAUAUUCUCAUGCCGUUAGUUAGUUUAGACGGAUUGCGUUAGCUUUUAACGAAAUAUUCUGGAAUAUACCUGAUGGCGUCAAUUGACACUGUCAGUGUGCCUGGCACAUGGCCGCACGUGGGGGGCGCAUCUGGCAAUGGCUUGGCCGGCGCGUGACGGCGCGUGGGAGCUAAGAAAAAUAUUCUAAAAAUUUGGGGAUGAUCCUGAGGUUGUGUAGGUCACUGUAGUAUUUUCAUAUACCCAAAUUGAGAAAUAUAUGAGAAGUUAUUACCCAUUGUUGGUUAUGUGUGUUAAAUAACGUUUAUUCGGUUAUUGCGCCUAUAGGUGAGACCAAUUCUCAAGACGUGCGUAAUCAAUCGAGGCUUGGGGGCUACGAUCCAUCAACAUAUCUAUGAGUGAGCAUUUAUUUUCAGUAUAUAUAUACACACACUUGACGUUUUUCCCAUAAAACGUAUUGAAAGGAAAUGUGAUUUAAAUGCCAUGCUAUGCCAAUGCCUAUAUUUUAUUUUAGUAUAUGCAUUAUCAUAAUUAUGCAUAUUGUCGCAUGGUGCUAUGGAGGCCUAGGUAAGCUCAGGUGAGUUAUGUUUUGAUUAUGUGAAUUGUCAAUGAUGUAAUAUGUGAUUGAAUAGUGUUGAGCUCAUAAAACUGCACCUAGGGUGAUUGUGAUUUAGCCAGAGAUAUAAAGUACAUGCUUGUUUAUUAUGUCACCUCCCGCACCAUAUGCUUACAUUGGAUCCAAUUUAGGUGCAUAGUCUUAUCGAUAGACCUUAUUUGUGGUUCCGACUCGUAGGUGACUAGCGAUUUAUCGCCCGACUAUUAUGUGAGAGGAGUAUUAAGCAUAAUUAUAUUACACCCAUUAUCGUUGUAUAGACCCUUCCAUUUGGUUCCGACUGUGGUGCGGUAUAUUGCCGUAUAGGUCAUUGUAGUGACUCCGGUUAGAUUGACUUUUGAGUUAUGAAUUCAGCCGUACAGACUACCACAUGGGUUCCUGCUAACAUGUUAUAUUUCUAUGAAACUAUUCUUACCUGAAUUACUUAUUCUGUUAUAUAUAGACAUGGCAUACAUACAAAUAUGAAUCUUGAUUUUGACCAUGAUUUGAGAUAUAUACAUAUUUAUGUAUUCUAUUUUCUAGGAAAGUAUCUAUAUACUUGUUUUACGGCGAGGGGUUAGUAUAUUCAAAGAAAAAUAAGGUUUUCGUGUAAGAAUGUUUUUACUGACCCACUCAACUUUGUUUUUCGCCCCUCCAGGUCUUAGAUAACAGAGUUUAGUGGCCACGAGGAAUCGCACGGUGUUCUGACAGAAUCCGAAGAAGUAGGAUUCACCUUCGGGUGUUGUAUUUUAGUAAUUGUCCUACUUGACUGCAACUAGACUUUCUCAUUGCUCUAAAAGUGUAUUUAUACACUUAGGCUCUCACUAGCAUCCUUUCUUAACUAGGAUUGCUAGUUACUUGGUUUUAAAUUGUUCAUAUUCCUUACUCUUUAUCGCUUCCGCUUUGCGCUCAUAGCUACGUCACUCUCACGUGAUGACCAACACGUCUCGACUCCGGUCGGGGUGUGUCAGUUUGGUAUCAGAGCCUAGGUUGCAGUCCUGUAUAUCUUUAGAAUUUCUUAGUGUCUUCUAUCAGAACUAUACCGCCUCGUAUUGAACCACGUCAUUCAGAUGAGCCUAGUUUCUCUGAUAUAGCUCAGUUAGGGGAAGCUAUUAUUAAGGUGAUUCAGUCUAUUAUCCCUCUUUCUCAAAGGAAUUCUUUUGAGACUUGUUAUAAGCUGAAACUGAAUCACUUCAUGUAAAAUGAAAGACCUGAGGGAGCAGUGAUGGCUCAAUCAUUUGGAAAGGAUGAUUCGCAUUAUGCAAGGUCAAGGGAAUCUUCUUUUUGAAAGGUGGAUCGAGACGACCCUUAGUUUCUGAGUAUUGAAUCUGCAUCCUGGUGAAGACAGGAGGCUUAUCAAUUGAUGCUAGAGGAAAUUGCUGAUUGAGAAUUGUUUAAAGAGUUGUUUAAGAAAGGAUUUAAUCCUCCAGCAUAUAUGGAUGAUAAGAAGCAAGAGUUUACAAAUUUGAGACAAGGAAGGAUGACGACGAAUGAGCAUUGUGGAAAAUUUAUUGACUUGUCUCUUUACCAUUCGGAUGUUGCUGCUAAUCUAGUUGAGAUGUUAUGUCAUUUUAAACUAAGUAAUAAGAAGAUGUGGUGUUUUUUGGCGACCAUUACCCAUUGUGCUUCGUACCAGGAGUUCUACGAGAGUUUGUUAAGGACUCUAAGAAUAUGUUCAACGAUAUUGAUGAAGGAAAGGAAAAGAAUGGGAAUCAGAGGAAAGAUGAUAAAAGUUAAAGUUAGUCAUCUCAAGGACUUCGUAAAACUCAAAGCUUCAAAAGAAGUGGAACUAAUUCUAGUUCUUCUAGCGGAAAUUUUAGUGCUACUGAUCUAAGAAAAGGUGGUAGAUUCACUGGAGGUCCCAGGUUCUAGAGGCAGGGAUAUAUUGGUAAAGGAAAUGUACCUUUGUGCCUGGGUACAAUAAUAGACAUUUUAGAAAGUGUAGACGAAGAAGCAGUGGAUGUUUUACAUGUGGACAAAUGGGACAUAAAGCUGCAAAUUGUCCCCAUAAGCAGUAGAUGCCCAACAGUCUUCUUUGCCACCACUAGUGCCGAUCCAGCAAGUUCCUGGAUCUAGUAGUUAUAGUCAGAUGGGCUGUGGUGUGCACGGGCGAAGAAAUCAAGCUAAUAGAGGUCGUGAAAGACGACAACAAGCCAAGGACAUGUUAACAUAUCACUGCAAGAUGCUCAGAAUUAUUUGGACUUGAUUAUGGAUACGUUAAACAUUUUGGUCACUUUGCUAAAGUUCAUUGGUUGUGAUGCAGAAAUUUUAUAUUUUGGACGAUGUUGCCAAAGGAAGUAGUGAAUGAGCACAAGCGAAGCAUGCAUAUGUAUUUCCCAAUGAAGGACAAGAUGGUAAUAUUGCACCCUCGGGAAUUAUUACUUACUUAUCAAGAUAACAGUGGGUUAUCAGUAUUGCGGGCUGCAGACCGUAAUAUUAAUAACUUAUUCGUUGGAUUUGUUAAGUAAGUAAGCAUGUAAGUCAUUAUAUGAUAGUAUUGUGCUUUCAGGGUGUCCGGUGAUGGUGGAAGAUAUAGUUAUGCUAGUGAAUCUUAUCCCUUUAGAUAUGUGGAUUUCAAUGCUAUUCUAGGCACAUAUUGGUUGCAUUAUGAUCGUGCCAAUACAGAGUGCUACGGGAAAUCAGUUACUUUCCAUUGUCUUGGAUCACCAGAGAUUACUUUUAUGAAUGAGCAAAGUGGAAUGAGGUAUGUCGUUAUUUCUGUUAUGAGAGCGAAGAAAUGGUUAUCGAAAAGCUGCCAAGGAUACUUAUCUCAUGUAGUGCUAAAUGAUGCUACUCUGAGUAAUGUGGAAGAUGUAAGGUGGUUAGACAUUUUCCUGUUAUAAUUCCGGAUGAGUUACCUGGAUUACCGCCAGACAAAGAUGUGGAGUUCACUAUUGAUUUGUUUCCAAGUACAGAUCUUAUAUUAAAGAAUGGCUCCUGCUGAGUUAAGGGAAUUCAGUUACAGAAAUUGAUUGAUAAAGGUUCCAUUUAACCUAGUACGUUAUCUUGGGGAGCCCCACUUUUGUUGUGAGAAAGAAAGACCGGACAUUAAGGCUAUGCAUUAAUUAUAGGCAAUUGAAUCGGAUAACGAUUGAGAACCGUUAUCCAUUGCCGCGCAUUGAUGAUUGUUUGAUUAGCUUAGAAGUGCCUGUGUGCUUUCAAGGAUUGAUUUGAGGCCUGGUUAUUAUCAGUUGAAGUUUAGCUGUGAGGACGUUCCUAAGACUGAUUUCAGGACUCGUUGUGGUCUUUAUGAGUUUUUGGUGAUGCCAUUCGGAGUGACUAAUGUGCCUGCUGUUUUCAUAGAUUUGAUGAAUCAAAUAUUCCAGCAAUGUCUAGACAGGUUAUUAUUGUUUUCUUUGAAGAUAUUCUAGUAUACUCUAAGUCAAAAGCCGACCAUAUUCGACAUUUUAACUUGGUAUUAAAGAAAUUGAGAGAACAUCGGUUGUAUGCCAAGUUUAGUAAAUGCCAAUGUUGGAUGAAUCAAGUGACAUUUCUGGGACAUGCGAUAUCUGCUCAAGGUAUUCAAGUGGAUCCUUAAAAGGUAGCAGUGGUGGAGGAUUUGGAACAACCGCGAACCGUGACGGAGGUGCGGAGCUUUCUUGGCUUAGCAGGCUACUAUAAACGGUUGUUAAGGAAUUUUUCAGUCAUUGCCUUGCUAGUAACGAGAUUGAUGAGGAAGAGAUUAAGGUUGAGUGAGAUGAAAAUUGGGAGCAAGUUGUCAGCAGCUAAAGUAUUAUCUCACUCAUACACAUAUUUUAGCACUCCCAAAUGAUAGUGGUAAUUUUGUGGUCUACAAUGAUGCCUCGUUGAAUGGUCUUGGAUGUGUGUUGAUGCAAUAUGGUAGAGUGAUUGCUUAUGCUUCACGACAAUUGAAACCCCUUGAGAUGAAUUACCCUACUGAUGAUUUGGAAUUAGUAGCCAUUAUAUUGCCUUGAAGAUUUGGAGACAUUACCUUUAAGGUGAAAAGUGCAAGGUUUUUACGGAUCAUAAGAGUCUCCAAUAUAUUUAUUCAGAAAGAUCUUAAUCUUCGACAACAAAGAUGGAUGGGUUGCUUAGUGAUUAUGAUUGCACGACCAGGGUGGUCGUGCGAAUGUGGUUGCUGAUGCACUUAGUACGAAGACUCCAGUGAGAAUUAAUGCUUGAUAUGCUUGCCAUGUUUCUCUUAUUGCGGAUUUGAGAUCUACUGGAGUGAAGCUUAAGGUGAAAGAAUGAGAAGAAAGCAAUUUUGGAUGAAGCACAUAAUUCAGCAUAUGCAAUGCAUCUUAGAGAUACUAAAAUGUGUCAUGCCAAUCGACCAUUUUAUUAUUGGCUGGGUAUGAAAAGAGAAAUUGCUGAAUAUGUUAGUAAGUGUGCCAAUUGUCAAUUGUCAACAAGUUAAAGCUAAAAGGAAGAAACUUUUUGGUUUGAUGCAGCCACUCCUCGUUCCAUAGUGGAAAUGGAAAAAUAUUAUGAUGGAUUUCGUGUACAAGCUUCCUCGUACACAAAAUGGUUACGAUGAAAUUUGGGUGAUAGUUGAUUGACUUACUAAGUCAGCGCAUUAUUUUUCAGUAAAGGAACAGUAACCUUUCUAGAAGUACAACAGCUAUUUAUCUGUUUUAUGGAAAAGAGAUUUGGGCUUACAGAUCUGUUGAACUUCUUGGGCAUGUUGGUCACGUCAGUUUUCCGAAAGUAACACCAUAAGGCCCAUUAAUGAUUUGAAAAUUUAAGACCCUCAGUCAGUGGAGGAGACUACUCAGAAUAUUCAAGUACUUAAGUCGAACCGAAAAGCGGCCCUAGAUAGACAAAAGAACCUAGCUAACAGGCAUGCUAUUGAUCGAGUAUACAAGGUUACUGAUUGGAUAUUUUAAAGCUUUCACCAUGGAAUGAGAUAGUAAGAGUUGGAAAGAAAGGCAAGCUAAGUCCUAGGUACAUCAGGCCUUCUUUGAUCACUAAAAGAAUCGGUGAAAUGCUUACAAGUUUGAGUUGCCUUCAGAAUUGGCUAAGGUAUAUAAUGUAUUUCAAGUUUCGAUGCUUUGUUACUAUAUAGCAUAUUCGUCGCAUGUGAUUCCAGUUCAGCCUUGGAGAUUAAUCAGGACUUGACUUAUGAUGAGGAACCAGUUACUAUUUUGGAUUGGAAAGAGGAAGUCCUGAGAAAUAAGACUGUGUACUUGGUAAAAGUAUUAUGGAGAAACCAUUCAGUGGAAGAAGCUUCGUGGGAGACAAAGGAUCAGAUGAGAGAGAUGCAUCCAACGUUGUUUUAUGAGUAUUAGUGGAUGUAUUGGUUGUAUAUAAUUUCGAGGAUGAAAUUUUAUAAUGGAGCCGUGGGUUGACAGUAGGGUAAUGUCUAUUACCGUGGGUUGACAGUACAUCAAACCAGUUCGUGGAGGUUUCAAGCUGUUCUAAGACUCAAAAGGUAAUCUCCUAGUCCUUUGGUUUGUUUUGGCAUAAAUUGGAACAAUUUUGGACGUCAGAAAACCCCGGAAAAUGGACCUUCGACUUGGGUACUAUUUAUCAACUUUUAAACCCUUGAGUCUUUGUGAAUUUUAGGACCACAGUAAGCUCAAGGAGGUCCUCACGAUGCUCGGUUUCUGGCGCCGACGUGAGUAUUUAUCAACUUUGAAAAAUUACCCAGUUUCUUACGCCGGCGACGGUUGUCGGAGUUGAAGGUAAGAGAUGAAGGAAUAUUCUGUCAAGUUUGACGGAAUAUUCUCACGCCGUUAGUUAGUUUAGACAGAUUCCGUUAACUUUUAAUGGAAUAUAUUGGAAUAUACCUGACGGCGUCAGUUGACACCGUCAGUGUGCCUGGCACAUGGCCGCGCGUGGGGGGCACGUUUGGCCGUGCCUUGACCGGCGCGUGGGAGCUAAGAAAAAUAUUCUAAAAAUUUGGGGAUGAUCCUGAGUUGUGUAGGUCAUUGUGGUAUAUUCAUAUACCCAAAUUGAGUAAUAUAUGAGAACUUAUUACCUAUUGUUGGUUAUAUGCGUUAAAUAACGUUUAUUAGGUUAUUACGCCUAUAGGUGAGACCUAUUCUUAGGACGUGUGUAAUCAAUCGAGGCUCGGGGGCUAUGAUCCAUCGACAUAUCUGUGAGUGGGGAGUUAUUUUCAGUAUAUAUAUAUACUUGACAUUUUUCCCAGUAAACGUAUUGAAGGGAAAUGUGAUUUAAAUGCCAUGUUAUGCCAAUGCCUAUAUUUUAUUUUAGUAUAUGCAUUAUCAUAAUUAUGCAUAUUGUCGCAUGGUGCUGUGGAGGCCCAGGUAAGCUCAGGUGAGUUAUGUUUUGAUUAUGUGAAUUGUCAAUGAUGUAAUAUGUGAUUGAAUAGUGUUGAGUUCAUAAAACUGCACCUAGGAUGAUUGUGAUUUAGCCAGAGAUAUAAAGUACAGGCAUGUUUAUUAUGUCACCUCCAGCACCAUAUGCUUACAUUGGAUCCAAUUUAGGUGCACAGUCUUGUCCUACAGACCUUAUUUAUGGUUCCGACUCGUAGGUGACUAGCGAUUUAUCGCCCAGCUAUUAUGUGAGAUGAGUAUUGAGCAUAAUUAUAUUAAACCCAUUAUCGUUGUACAGACCCUUGCAUUUGGUUCCGACUAUGGUGCAAUAUAUUGUCAUAUAGGUCAUUAUAGUGACUCCGGUUAGAUGGACUUUUAAGCUAUGAAUUCAGCCGUACAAACUACCACAGUGGUUCUGGCUAACAUGUUAUAUUUCUAUGAAACUAUUCUUACCUGAAUUACUUAUUCUGUUAUAUAUAGGCAUGGCAUACAUACAAAUAUGAAUCUUGAUUUUGAGCAUGAUUUGAGAUAUAUACAUAUUUAUGUAUUCUAUUUUCUGGGAAAGUAUCUAUAUACUUGUUUUACGGCGAGGGGUUAGUAUAUUCAAAGAAAAAUAAGGUUUUCGUGUAAGAAUGUUUUUACUGACCCACUCAACUUUGUUUUUCGCCCCUCUAGGUCUUAGAUAGCAGCGUUUAGUGGCCACGAGGAAUCCCAUGGUCUUUUGACAGAACCGAAGAAGUAGGAUUCACCUUCGGGUGUUGUAUCUUAGUAAUUGUCCUACUUGAUUGCAACUAGGCUUUCUCAUUGCUCUGAAAGUGUAUUUAUACACUUAGGCUCUCACUAGCAUCCUUUCUUAGCUAGGAUUGCUAGGUACUUGGUUUUAAAUUGUUCAUAUUCCUUACUCUUUAUCGCUUCCGCUUUGCGCUCAUGGCUACGUCACUCUCACGUGACAGCCAGCACGUCUCGACUCCGGUCGAGGUGUGUCAUAAGUGAAGGUAUAAUGGGGAGGAAAAAUUCAUUCUAAUUCCUCCAAUUUCGCAAAGUUCAAUUACCAUCAAAUUGCAGGGAAUCCAAUUCCUCCAAAUUUCAGAGUUGAAUUCCAAAAGUUGUGUGGGUCCCAUCAAAAUUUUAAUUCCCUAAUAUUUCGUAAAUACGGAAGUAUCCUUAUUUGGAAUUUAAUUUCGCAGUCUUUCAGAAAUUAAGGAAUAAUUUAGAGUAAAGUAUGAUAUGCAACUACGAAACGUUCAAUUUCAAUUUUAUAAACAUCUUUCAAUUUUUUCAAUUUCAUAAAAUAGCUCCCAAUUUCACACCAAUGUCACACAAUGGUUAGAAAUAUGUUAAAUUGACUAUUAAAUGAUGAUGUGGCUGUCAAAUUUGUCCACAUAGAUAAAAAAAAGUUAUGCCAAAAAAUUAAAUAAAAAAGAGUAGGCUCCACCCCCUUCAAUCCAAUAAAUUUUUCAUUGUGCCCAGAAUGUGUCACUAUAUAAGCAGUGAGAUACUUGUAUUAAAAAAUUAACAACUUAAAAAAUAAAACUUUUCUCCACUUAUAUAAUGACACGUGGUGUAUAACUCGUGUUUCAGACACAAUGAAAAUUUUCUCCGUCAAUCUUACCACUCAACGCCAUUCCCUUCUACUUCCACCAAGGUUUGUACCAUCUUUAUUGGCAACGACCAUCAAUAUGUGGGUCAGAGCGGCGACGGAUCAAAGUGUAGUGGUGGUUUCAUCAGAUCAUGAGAAUCACGAGGUGAUGAAGACAUCCGGGUGCGAAUUGGAUCCAGAGUGCUGGUUGCUAGCGGUGUGGGUCAAGUCUGCUGUGAGAAGAGCAGGGUGGUGUGGGCAGUAGCGGCUGAUGAUGAUGCAAUUCUGGGCAAAAUUCAAAGUGUGGCAGGAUCGUCGCGCGACGAUCCGUUGUAGGUUCGUGGAGGUGGUUCAGAGAGAGUGUGGCAGAGGUCAACGAAGAAUCAGGUGGCAGGUUAGUGUGGUUCAUCGAGUCUUAUAUAAUUAGGACAACGACUAAUGUGGCAAACAGGGUGUAAAGAAAGAAUAUUACAAGAAAGAAUUGUCUCGAAUGAAUAAUUUCAUUGAUCUGAAUCAUACAAUAUAGACAGGAGCAUUCUCCUAAUAAAUCUCUAAUCUAAUAAGGUUCACAGUAAAAAAAGGAAUUACAAAUUAAAUACAAAUCUUUUCCUAAAUAAUCUCAGAGAAUCCUAGAUUUGGUGAAUGUAUUUUCCAAUACUCCCCCUCAAGUUGGAGAGUGAAUAUCAUUCACACCCAACUUGCAAACAAGAGGAAUAAAUGUUUCUUUUCCCAAAGCUUUAGUAAGCACAUCGGCUAAUUGAAAUGAAGAACAAACAUGCCUUGUUGCAACAGCCUAUUCUUGAAUCUUUUGUCGAAUAAAAUGGCAAUCAAUUUUGAUAUGACGAGUUCUCUCGUGAAAAAUGGGGUUAGCCGCAAUAUGCAAAGCUGCUUUAUUAUCACAAUAUAACAAAGCGAGUUUGGAAUGAGCCAAACGAAGAUCUUUGAGAAGAUAUCUGAGCCAUGACAACUCUUGGCAAGUAUUCGUCAUAGCCCUAUAUUCUGCUUCUGCCAAAGACAAUGAAACGGUCUUUUGUCUCUUUGAUUUCCAUGAAACCAAAGAAGAGCCCAAGAAAAUGCAAUAACCUGUAGUUGACCUUCUAGUAAUUGGACAACCUGCCCAGUCAGAAUCACAAUAUGCACGCAAAGACAAGUCAUUUUGUGAAGAGAAGAAAAGACCUUGUCUUGGUGCAUUCUUGAGAUAACGCAAAAUGUGUAGAGCAGCUUCCAUGUGGGGCUUUCGAGGUUCAUGCAUAAACCUAUUCAAAAUGUGCACUAAAUAAGUGAUGUCAGGUCUUGUAAUAGUAAGGUAUAUAAGGCGUUCAACUUUGUAUAAUAAGCAGCCACAGACAACUGCUCUUGAGUCAAAUAUGCAAUUUCCCGUUGAAGUUGAAAGAUGCGAGGAGCAUUGCUUUUAGAGAAUCGUUCUUGGAGAUCUUCCCAUACCGCACGAGCCACGUAUAGUAAAGAACACUGCCUCCAAUCUCACAUUCAAGUUGACGAUCCAGGCGACAACCAUAUCGUUGCAAUGCGACCAAGUCGAGUAUUCACUAGAAUCUGGUGAAGGAGCUUUGAGAGUUCCAUCAACGAAACCCAAUUUAUUUUUGGCAUUCAGAGAAACUGUCAUGGCCCUGUGCCAUGUCGCAUAAUUAUCCCCAUUCAGAGGCUUUGAAACGAGCAUCAACCCCGGAUGAUCGGACUGAUGAAGAAAAUAAGGGUUUGAAACUUCUUGGUCACCCAUGGAAGAUGACGGGGCUGUUCUUCGAGGUUUGUAGCACGAGAAAAAUUAGGGUGCAGCAAAAAAAAUUGCAGCGGAGAAAAAAACUAGGGUUUUAAACUUGCUCUAAUAGCAUGUAAAGAAAGAAUAUUACAAGAAAGAAUUGUCUCGAAUGAAUAAUUUCAUUGAUCUGAAUCAUACAAUAUAUAUAGGAGCAUUCUCCUAAUAAAUCUCUAAUCUAAUAAGGUUCACAGUAAAAAAAGGAAUUACAAAUUAAAUACAAAUCUUGUCCUAAACAAUCUUGGAGAAUCCUAGAUUUGGUGAAUAUCUUUUCCAAUACAGGACAACACUCAGCAUCCCCAUGGACACAAGCUUGAAAUAUUUUUUUUAUAACCACCUCGACGAAAUUGUAGAACCCCCAGUUUUCACAUUAUCUUUUAACGGUUAAUACAUAAUAUUUGACGGAUAUAUGAUAUUGUAAAGAAACAUAACUUUGUGUAAGAAUGUGAAAAAAACAAAAAACUAAAAGACGACGUAUGAAUUUAAUGUUACACAAAAACUUGAGACUACAAACUGUCAUUUACUCAAUAAUUUAUUAUUGGCCUUCAUUAGUUUUUGGUUUAACCAUGUUAAUCUGGAUGGACUAAUCCCCUAAGAAGUUGCCCUUGUCAGAAAUUUCGUUUGGGCUACAGCCCAUCUCAGCCAGCUCUCUAUCGGUCCCUGGUUGGAAGAAGAAAUAUAUAUAUAUUCAAAUAGUCGUCGAUGAUUAUGUUUUUGUUUUGGUAAACCGUCGAUGAUUAUUUGGUAGUAGUACUCUGAGGAGUUAAUUAGCUGCUGUCCCAACUGGCUUUGAUUAUAUAUAUGAUGAAAAUGGAUGAAAUUUCAAAACUGAAUUUGGAGAAAGUCAAGGUCAAAAAUGUGAAAAUCAAAGGAUGCAACAAGAUGCCUGCGUGUGCAUGCAGUGGCUGUUGCUUGCAUGACCGUACAACUCCCUAGCUGUUUGCUGCCCCCUCGUGCGUUUGAAUUUAAUGCCAAAUUGUUGACGUGACUCCCUUUCUCUUCUUUUAUCCUUUCUACCCUACUCUGUAUUUUUGAACAGAACCGGAUCCCCUCCUAAGCUUAGGAGGCUGAGCCUUAUGAACAAAUCACACGGACCAUUAAAAUUUGAUUCAACGGCUAAUAGAAUAUCUUUCUAAAAAUUAUAAUAAUUACAGCCGUUGUAUCAAAUUUCAACAAUCUGUGUGAUUUGCUCAGGAGGGAAUCCAGUUCCUUUUUGAACACCUAACCUCCUCAAGACAAAAGAAAAUUACUCAUUACAUACUUCGAGCUAAGUGUUGAGCAACUUUUUUUUAUGACAAAUAAGAAUCAUGAAAUAAAAAGAACAGAUUGUUUGAAUUUGUUUAUAAAUGAUUUUAGACGAUAAUAAAAAAAUAAAUAGUUUUAAUUGUAAUAUUUAUAAGUGAUAUCACGUCGUCGUUAAAGAUGGAAUAGCUCAUAUUCAAGUAUAUUGUCAUAUUUUUUAUACCAAAUCAAACAUGCAUCUCCAAUAAAAAUAGUAAAUUGUCUAUCAAAAGUAUCAUUUACUAACUUAUGUGGCAUUUUGAGAGAAAAAGAAAUUGCUACAUAAAGUAUUGUCACUCAAGCCACCCGUAUUUUUUAAUAGGAUAGUGCUAUUGAUAUGUUCAUUUUUACUUCUUACACAUCCCUUUUAAUUUUCGAUCAUCAAAUCUAAUGAAUUGAAGAAGAUUAAUGACCACAAAUUAACAAAAGUAUGUGAGAGGUUAAAAUGAGUGUGGUAAUAACACUAUCCUUAGACACCUAACAAUUUCUUACACAAUCCGUUAACACAACACGUAAACAACACAAAAAUAACGGGUUUUGGGUCAACACGAUAUCUAAUCGGGUCACACGAUAAGAACCCGUUAUUUAACAAGUUCUUAACAGGUUUACACGAAAGUGACAUGCGGGUAACCUGUUUUGACACGUUAAGAAAAAUGUUAUUUUGAUGAUUUUAAUUUUUAAACUACUUAAAAAACUUACUAUAAAUACAAUAGCCAUAGUGUAUAUGUAGAUAUUGUAUAUUAAAUAUAUAUUAUUGUAUUAUUAUUCAAUGUAAAUUUAAAAAAUUUAAGUUUUAUUUAUUUAUUUAUAUAGUAUAGGCAAAGUGUGAGAAUAAAAAAUUAUAAAACACAUUAAAAUAAAAGUAUCAAGUAAUUUACAGAUACCAAACACAUUAAAAAAAACAUAAUAGUUAAUUUAUAAGUGCAAAAAAUGUGAAAAAUUAGGCAAAGCUCGUGAUCGCAUCUUAUACGAUAUGAGUAUGGGUACAAUGUUGUUUGAUUUUUAAAACCAUACAAAUCCUCAUGAAUAGUAUUUUUAAGGGAGUUCAAACUAAAUAAAAUUCAUAAUCUUAAUGUACAAGUUUUAAAAAUGUGAAGGCAUAUAUAAACGUGCAAGGUUCCUCAACCUUGAAGCGUAAGUCCCUUCAUUUUGCAUAUCCUUGAAUAUUUGGUAUUUUAUAGUAAUGUACUAAUGUUUUUUCAUUAGGCUCUUAUUUUGGAGUAUAUAAUACUUGAAAGACAAAUGUUUUUUUUUUUAAUGUUUUGGAGUAAUAUUAAUGUGACAAUGUGGUAUGUGUUGAUGCACAAAACCGGAGGGGUGUUGGAACAACGUAAAUCCGACCGUGAAUCUGCAAGAAAGUAAAGAACACAAGAUGUAUCGUGGUUCACCCCAAUGUUUGGGCCCAGUCCACACUGAUAUUGUAUUUCUCAGUUUGUGAGAGGAUUGUGAGGGAGAGAGAGCUUCUGUAUGUGAGGAUGAGGGCCUCUCUUUGGGGAUAUGAGACCCUUUGAUUGUGAGGGUGAGGAGUCCCUUUUAUAGACUAAGGGCUCCUCACUUAUUACAUAUUUACCCCUUCAUUUAUUACAUAAUUACACUUGAGUCCCCCGAGUAUUUAUACGAGGUCUAAAUACGGAGGCCCUAAGUAUGGUAUAAACAGUAGUCCCCCAAGUCUUCAGUCAAGAGAGUCUUUUGGCUGGAGACUUGAAAUUCAGUCCAUGUGUGGGCCGAAGUAACUAGAUGUCGUCUAGAACUAAUACUUGAUAUGAGGCGGUUCCCAAUCUGAAUUGACGCUCAACAAGAAGUAGCACAUGUUGCGAGGUUGCUCUGCUUGUGGCUUAUGUUGCGGCGUUGAAGGUUAGGGAGUCCCUUUUAUAGAAUAAGGGCUUGCUCCUCAAUACAUAAAUGAUGGGCUAGAGUUGAUGCUUGCGGCGAGGCGGUUGCUCAGCAGGCGGCGAUGCUCUCUAAUGAAAGUGAGGGAGUCCCUUUUAUAAAAUAAGGGCUCGCUCCUCAAUACAUGAAUAAUGGGCUAGAGUUGAUGCUCGCGGCGAGGCGGUUGCUCAGCAGGCGCCGAUGCUCUCUAAUAAUGGUGAAGGAGUCCUUUUUAUAGAAUAAGGGCUCGCUCCUCAAUACAUAAGUGAUGGGCUAGGAGUGAUGCUUGCGGCAAGGCGGUUGCUCAGCAAGCGGCGAUACUCUCUAAUGAUGGUGAGAGAGUCCAUUUUAUAGAAUAAGGGUUCGCUCCUCAAUACAUAAGUGAUGGGUGUUCUCUAAUGAAAGUGAGGGAGUCCCUUUUAUAAAAUAAGGGUUCGCUCCUCAAUACAUGAAUAAUGGGUUAAGUCCCCCGAGUAUUUUUCAUAAGUGCUUUCUAAUGAAAGUGAGGGAGUCCCUUUUAUACAAUAAGGGCUCCUCUCUUAUUACAUAAAUAAUGGGCAAGUCCCCCAAGUAUUUUUCAUGAGGCCCAGUUGUGGAAGCCCAACAUAUGGUACAUAGUGUAGUCCCCCAAGUCUUCAGUCAAUAAAGUCUGUUGGCUGGAGACUUCAAAUUCAAUCCAUGUAUGGGCCGAAAUGGCGGUUUGUUCGGAGGCGGUCUUUGUAUACCAUGCACUGAAGCUUUGUAGGUGAAGCUUGGAAAGUGAAGCUUUGAAGCUGGAACUUUUGUAAAUGAAGUUUUUGAAGUUGGAGCUCUCGAAGCUGGAGCUCUGUAAAUGAAGCUUUCGAAGUUGAUUGACAUGAGUGAUGCUCAUGAAUGUUUAUGUUGAUUGUCAUGAGUGAUGGUCAUGGAUGUUGACAUGAGUGAUGCUCAUAAAUGUUGACAUGAGUGAUGCUCAUGAAUGUUGAUAUGAGUGAUGGUCAUGAAUGUUUAUGUAUGAUUGACAUAAGUGAUGCUUAUGUAUAAUUUUGGAGUACUGGACGUACUUUUGAUCACCUAGUUGGUGAUAAUAGCGGCAGGCUGCCGAAUAAUUUUGGAGUACGGGACGUACUUUUGAUCACCUGGUUGGUGAUAAUAGCGGUAGGCUGCCAAAUAAUUUUGGAGUAUUGAACGUACUUUUGAUCACCUGAUAAUAGCGGCGGGCUGCCGAAUAAUUUUUUGUAGUACUGGACGUACUUUAGAUCAUCUGGUAUAAUAAAGGGCCUGGCUUUUUUUUGCAUAUGAGCCUUCGCCCUCCACAUAACAUUCCAGCCCAUUAUUUUGGCCUUGCCGUUUUUUAUUUUAUUUUUAUGAUUACCUUCUGAUGGGGUUACACAGAUGUCUCUAAAAGAUAAGGAAAAUAAAUCACAUCAUUCAAAAAUAAAUUCGACCCUUUGCUCAAUGGGUCACGCCCAUAACCCUUUUCUGCAUGCCAUCACCACCGCAAUUAUGUCUGUUUCUUCUUUUGGUUUCUGCUUUUGCUUUUAUGGUUUUCUUUCUACUUUUCUUGAUCUCCCCGCUCCUUCUCUGUCUCUCCACCUCCAAACAUACUCACCUGCGGACUUGCUUUUGCUUUUUCUUUUUAUCUUCUUCCUUUAAUGCUUUUCAUUUUUUGAAUACUGUGGCCCAGAAACUUCAUCAGCUUUUUCUUUCCCAUACAAUUGUUCGACCAGUGCAACAGCAAACUCCAUGGUAGUACCAGGUCCACGACUUGUCACAACUUUGCCAUGGUAGUACCAAGUCUAAGCUCUUUGAGGGAGAUCUGCUGAUAUGUGAUUUUCCUUUGUUGGCGAAGUUUCUCAGCCACAGGAUCCAGUGGCUCUUCGUUUUCUACUUCAACGGUUUUUUCUUUCUUAUCUAUAGCUUUUGCAGGAGGUUUUGUUGCAUGUUUCUUAGGCACCUUCUCAGCAAUAGACUUUGCUACAGGUUCCAGAUGAGCAGGUUCAUCGAAAUCUCCCCGUAGAAUUUGUUCGACGAAAGGUCGAGGUACCGAAGGCUUACUGGAAUGUUGCCAGAGAUUGUUUUCCCUUCUUUCUUACAACAAAAACUAUCUCAAGACAAAAGAGAAUGAACAAAUCUUAGAGCCAGAGAGCCCCGGCCUCUAUAAGAAGAGGAACAAAAGUGCCGUUGAUAUGAGAAACCAUGACUCUGUCCAUUGCGCUGACAAGUUUGCCACUGAUGAAGACGAUGGGGACGGUGGAGGAAGUCGUCAGCCGCCUCAUCAACGCCCUCUCCAAGUCCUUACCUUUGGGGUCCUCGUCCAACUCGCACACAGUGGGGUUAACGCCCAUGCCGCAGAAGAGGCGUUUGAUGGCGUGGCACAUGCAACAGCUUCUUAUACUUAAUAUCACCACCGCGUUCUCCGACACCAUCCGCUCUAUGUGCUCCAGAGGGUCCUCCAUGCCCAUUGAGGUUUUUGUGGGUAUACAGGAGCCCCAUGACUCGGUCUGGUAGUGCAUCGUGCUAGCUUAAAUUGUUGAGGAGGUUAGGGUUUAGGUUGAAGUGAAGCGAAGGAAUGUAUAGAUAUCUGACUAGAAAAGUGGCUUUUUGGUUAAGUACUUGGGAGUUCAGAGGAGUAGUAAUAUGAGUAAGUGAGAUUUUCGGUAAAGAGGGAGUUUGCGAAGUUUUUCUGGGUUUUUGUGAUUUUGUAGAUUCACGGUAGAGGUGAAAAAAAAUGAAAAAGAACCGACACAACUUUUCGUAUCGAUUCCCACAGACGACGCCAAAUGUUGAUGCACAAAACCGGAGGGGUCUUGGAACAACGUAAAUCUGACCGUGAAUCUGCAAGAAAGUAAAGAACACAAGAUGUAUCGUGGUUUACCCUAAUGUUUGGUCUACGUCGACACUGAUAUUGUAUUUCUCAUUUUGUGAGAGGAUUGUGAGGGAGAGAGAGCUUCUGUAUGUAAGGAUGAGGGCCUCUCUUUGGGGAUAUGAGACCCUUUGAUUGUGAGGGUGAAGAGUUUCUCUUAUAGACUAAGGGCUCAUCACUUAUUACAUAUUUGCCCCUUCAUUUAUUACAUAAUUACACUUGAGUCCCCCAAGUAUUUAUACGAGGUCUAAAUACGGAGGCCCUAAAUAUGGUAUAAACAGUAUGCAUAUACUAAUUUAGUAGUAUGUUUUUUUAGGUCAAAUUAUGCUUUUUAUUUUCAUUAUUUAUUUAUUUAAAAAAUAUUUUCUUUAACAGGUAACGGGUCAAAUCAUAUUACCUGAUAAUAUUAACGGGUCGAUUUCGAGGAGGGUCAUAUUACCCGUUUACUUUAACAGGUGUUACACAACACAACUCGUUAAGAUAUUUGGUACGACACGAACACGAAAAACAAGACAUGAAUGCCAAGUCUAACUAUCCUUUUUAAUAAUAUAAAUCUCGUGAAUGACAAGUUUAAAACUGUUGUAGGCAUAACUUACGGAACAAUUAUGGAGGCCGAAGAGAUAGGGAAGGUGUAGCAAUAGUAGAUAAAAGAGAGAUGUGUAAUUGUAGGUGUGUUCUAUUCCACCCCAUUGUGCCUUUAUUUAUAGUAGUAUGAUAGGUAAAAACCUUUCCCUUUAGAAUUACAACAUUUAAUAGGUAAUCUACUCCUAAUAGGAAUAUAAGAGAUAUUCCAAGAUAUACUAGGAUUUACACAAUCACAUUCCUAAUCUAAUAGGACUGCAACAUUCCCCCUUGAGUGUGUAAAUACUCAAGUAAAUGGUGCAUCAGGUAUUCAGUGAUGAAGCAAGUACAGUUAAUGAAGUCGUCGACACAAUAAGCAAAUGCGAGUGUCAGAUCAACGGAAGAAUGCAUAAAAAGUAAAACUCACAAAACCUUGCUAUGGUAAAACCCAAGGUGGGGGAAAACCCCAGUCUAAGGAGAAAAGUGAGAAGUUGCAUUAAGUCAAAACUAUACGUCUUUUGGAUGCAAGGAGAAGAGUUCACAAGGGUAUGAUAAGCCCAGGAUGGGUGCCUCAUUAAAACCUAGUUAGGUAGCAAAAACCAAGUGGGAAAAAUUCUCCUAAUCAUAGGGAAAAAGAGUACAUUAAGAUCAAGUGAGUAUACUUCUGGAUACUCCCCCUGAGUUUGACAUAACUUCCAAAUGAGAACUACAAGCAUUGCAUAUGAUAGUUAGGCAUACCAAUUCCUCGAACAAGCUUCUGGAAGGUUGACUUCGGCAAUGACGUCGUGUAGCGGUCACCAAGGUUGUCUGGGAUCGGCUUGCAUGACUUUAAUCUCCUGAUGCUUUGCUGAUGUAGAUGUGGACACAAUAUGUCUUGGCAUUGACUUCGUUGAUGUAUCAUGGCUUGGUCGAGUGGAUACAUGCGGCAUAGUUUUCAUGGAUCGUCAUUGGGACUCAAUGAUGGAUGAAAACAUAGUAAGUACUUCGAAUAUGCUCAACAAGAACUCUUAACCAUGUCUUACUUGUGGCAUAGUGAAGUGAGGUGAGUCUUGGAACAAUUCGAAGAUUUCGCAACUAAGGUCAUAUCAUGAACCUCCAAGAUAUUGCGAUAUCCUUAACGGUAAAGACAUAACCAUUUGGGCAUUUUUGUGCGGGUUUGAUAAGUAACUAGCGUUAGCAUAACAAACAAGGCAAGCAUCAUUCUGAGGAUCAGGGGGGUUGGAUCUGCUCGAGAUGCGUCGGGAUUUGCCUAUGUAGUACCUUCAGGGUACGUCUUUAAUACCAAUUCAGUGGCUGCGUGUAGGCGCGGUGCUGUAUCUUUACCAAGAUCAACAACGAAGGAGAUGUCCUAUCUAAAUACAAUGAGCUAAGUACAUGAAGCACAAAGUUGAACUUUAGAUCUGGAAUUUCGGAUUCCAUAACCUCUUCAAGGGUAUCAUUUGCAUAUAAUGUAUGGACAAUCAAAGGUAUACUCAAAGGUAACACAUUUGAGGUGUAGUUCGACUGGUAGACCAAAAUACCGUCAAAACAAUGCUUAAACUUCAGGUCAAGGCAUAAACAAGUUUUCCCAAGAUCCUUCAUCUCAAAUUCCAUCUUCAGGUGCGAGGCUAUUUUCUCAAGCUCUUUCGGAGUCUUAGUGAGAUUCGUGUUAACGACAUAAACUGUAACUCUAGCACUUUGGAAUAAGACUUCAUAGUUUAACACGCAAGGGCAUUAUUCAUAUCCCUAACUGAUCAAAUAAUCACGUAGACGGGUAUACCACAUCCAUUGAAUUUUUCAAUCCAUAAGUGAACGCCUCAAAACAAGUUAAUAGGGUGUUCUGUGGUUUUGGAACUAUUUGAACCAAUCCAUGUAAUUCUUCGAAAGCUUACAUGUUAAUCUCCGUAUCUAUAUCCCCAUGGAGAAAACACUAACCACAUUUCAUAAUGUUGCUAUCAAUCACAGGAUGUUUGAGAGAAACCUUGCGCCGUAAGGCGUGCAUCAUAUCGUACUAUUUCAUUCAUCUUGUAACGUUUCCUUUCCCACUUGUAACACAACAAGGUUACCUUGGGCAGUGUAGGAAUGACAGGUCCAAUACACACUUUGGUAAGAAAUUUAACCUGGAUUGUAAUUUCAGUUGUCCAAUCAAUUCUAUGUUGUCACUUAAUCAAGAGAACACAGUUCGAUAUUGUCGCUUUUCAUUUAUGUCGGUAGCUACCAUAUAAGUGAAAACAUCAUUGAUGAUAAUCUCAUUUCAAUUCCAUUUACCUCAUCCAAACUAGUAUACUGGACCAAGAACUUUAAGUCUUGGGAGAAAUCCAGAUUAAUCUUAUGAGAUGGAAAUGAUUUGAGACAGUGAUCCAGUUUAGAUUCAUUGUUGUACCAUAUCUUCCUCUUUAAAGGAAGUGAAUCUUAUAAACCGAAUGAUCUGUCGUGCUUCAGGCCAAGACAGAUUGAUUAGCUAUCCGCCGGUGUAUCGGACUAUCCAACAUGGGCGUCCAAACCGUCCAACAAGGGCGGCACACCCUCCAAGGAUGUUAACUUGACGUCCAUUAAGUACGUCUAUCCUUGCAGGCAUGUUUGCAGCUAGUAUAUGAUCUCGUCACUUUAGCUAGAUCAGAAGAAUGCGUCUGGAGCAACAUUCUGAAAGCUAGAAUUCAUCGCACUUGCUUAUCACACUUAUGUGGUAUGGGGAUCGAGAUAAGACAUAGUGGGUAACGUCCACGCAAAUUCACGAUUCUAUAGGAACGUUGAUGUUCUUAUCUCCUCCUAACGGCGAGAAAACUAUCUCAUUAAAGUGACAACUCGUAAAUAAGCGGUAAAGAGAUCGCAUACAAGGGCUUGAAGAGAGCUAAUGUGAAGGAGAAUCAUGAUCAACAAAAAAUACACAUCCUUCUUUGAGGACCCAUGGUGGUACAUUGCGGCGGUGCAACUUGGCAUAUGGAAUGCUCACCCAAAUGUGUAAAUACGAAAAUCGUCAUGUUUAUACCUAGUAACCAACUAUAACGUCAUAUAGGUUGGGUGGCAAUGGGCCUCAAGGCGGACCAACAUAACUGCGUAUAAGGGUUGCAUAGCCCUAGACAGAAACCGAAAACUUGGUAUAUUCACCAAAAUUCAGGCGAUCAUUUAAAUUGUGCUUUAUGAUCACUAGGCGAGGCUCUUUGAGGUGAACAUGGGAAUUCAAUGUUCAAUUAUAAACCCAAAAUACAUGCAAUACUUUAUCGAAAACCAUCGAUAUAUACUCUCAGGCAUUAUCCAGUCUCCCGGACCUUAAGGGAUAAGUAGAGUGGUGAACCCGUAAUCGUCCAUGAGGUUUAAUAGCAAUGUUUGUGGACAAACAUGUGACCAGUUUGUCAAUUCAUCAACCAAAAUCAUAAGUAUUUUAUGUGGUCCGCAUUUUGGUUGGAUUAGUCCACAUAUAUUCCCCUUGAAUCCACUAUGAAAAAGGAGUCGUGUCGUAUCUUUGCAAGGAAUGAUAUAGAAAUCAAUUUCCCAAAUGAGCAGGCUUUGGCAAAGUGUGCUUGUAAUUACAAGAUCCUUACUUCGGGUAAGGAGAUGCAUUGUAGCAUCAUUGUUCGACCUAAGUGUCCCAAAUGGUCGUGCCAAAACAAGUAAACUGCUCAAUCAUCAGGCUCCAGGCUAGCCACAUAUGGUGCAUUCCCAGUUAGGUGACAACCCAUUGGCCCCAAAUCAAAGCAUCAGGCUCAUUUUUGGAGGUGAGACAAAGAUAUUUCACUCUAUUUUCUUCAGUGGUUUCAUUUAUGAUCAUUGCCACCUCGAAUAUCCUUAAAAACUCAAUGUCAUGGAGAAUUUAAGGUCCCUUAAAUAGUGAUGCAGUACUAUUCGUACAACGAGGAACGUGCCAAUACUCUUAAUCAGGUUGGAUAGACCUGAAGUCGUUGUUAGAGAUGUGAUUUAGGUGUAAAGUUAGUGUGCGUAGUACACAUUCAUCCAAACAACUAACUAGCACACAUUCCUACCUAAUCACGUGUUUAAUUGAAUCGAUCACAUGUAUUAAGAAACAUGAUUCAAUUAACUCAUAUUCGAGGACAAUAUCAAUAAGAUUAUCCAUAAGUAAAACAUACACCAAACUUGAAUCCAAGAACAUGGAAAAAUGUUCACAAAGUAAAUGGUUUACUAAGGGUAUUCGGCCAACAAGGCUAUCCAUGUCAAAAUUUUGUUCUUCCAACGGUGUUUGGUGGAGCAAAAUUAGUCUCACGUCUUGACUACUAGAAUGGUACUCCUUAACAACAUUAGUAGGGGCACGAAUAGGUGCAUAACCAAUGGUCUAUUCCAUCGAGACGAAAAUAGAUUCUGCAGGGUUAAGGUUCGGGAAUAUUUUCCCUUAUUCUUGAAGUUUUUAGGUCUUAGGUACCAAAGAUCAUGCUUCGGGCAUGAUGCCACACCUUGGCAGGCCCUGAUUCUAUCAUAUGUUAUAAAAAGAAACUCGAAAUUGGAUUGUGAGAGAAUAUGCCAUUCAGUGUACCCUUGCCGAAGCAGUGCAUCACCAUUCGGUAGGCUUUGACUCAACUAGGUUGAGCUAUUCGGUAGACUCCAGUCGAACUGAGUCCAUACCGUUCUCUCACGUUUGUGGUAGUAAUCAGAUUCGAGAAUUUGGUAAACUUCCUCUAUCUACACUGCUGCUUCAUGGGCGAGUUAGAAACAAGGAAUGACGAGAAAAGUAUUUCCAGUCAACAUUCGAUCGAAUUUAUAAACUUCAGAAUUGUACUCAUUCAUGGACGUAAUCAUGGUGUGUUUCAGGUAAUGUCUUUCAUGAUUAGACGGUCCAUAGAAGCGAGCCAAAGAGCUAUGGAAUCCUCGAUCGAGAGGUAUUUCCAUUUGUAAUGCUUUGAGCAUAAGUCUUCGAAUGAAGAUCAUGGCGGAGGCUUAUUCAGCUCUUCCAUGCCAUUGUUGGCUUCAAUGGUUUCUCAUAUUCAUGAUAGUCAAGUGGAAAUCAGACUUGUGACGGUUCGACAAUCUGCUGAAUUUGGAGGGAACAAGAUUGUGAUUGGCACUAUAGGAAUGAAUCAUCCAUAAGCAUCAAAGUUAGAACAUUCGAGUUUUAAGACAUGGUUGUCAUGAAAAAACGUCGGGUUUUCAUAGGUGUAUUGUUUUAUGAAAUCUUCGGGUUUCAAAGGCACUAGAUUUGAAACUACAAGUUCAAUUUAGUUUAUGAACGUUUAAUUCAUAAAAGAGAGGUUCCUGCAAGAACACAUAAUGCAAUAUACAACUAAGUGUAGUGGAUUUGGGUUGCUUUAGGAACUCAAGUGUGAGUGCUUCGGGACUACGAAAGUAUGUCAACGGUUCAAAGUAUAAAAAUAAAUUAUUAAAUCGUUAAUGUCCAAAAGUGAUCUUCAAGUCAAUAAUUUUGGAUUCAUUAUCAGAUUAAUGGACUGCAGGUCACUUUUAAUUAAUUCAAUAGAUUGAGACCAUUCGGGGUCGAUCGUAGAAGCAAAAAUAAUUAUAACAUACGUGUUAAAAUUAUUUAGAAUGCUAAAAUAAUAGCAUGUGGGUUGAAAAUAUUGCCCCAAAAAUAAUUGGGCUCGGGUUGGCUACAAAAGGCAGCCCAUGGGUGGCUAUAGGCCACGGGCCGAAACUAGGAGCCUAGUAGCAGUAACUACUGUCGUUUGGGCUAGGAAAUUGGGCACGGGUGCAGGUCCAGCAAAAUGCUGGCCUGCGGGUUGGUGCAUACGAGGCCCAGCUUAAGCUAGGGCUUGGUUUUGGGUCCGAGGCAAGUGUAACCUAGCAGAUAGGGCUGCUAGAAGUGGGCUGUGGUGUAGGACAAGGCCCAGCAGCCUAUUGCUGCUAACAGAUGGUGCUGAGAGCAUGGGAUAGGUCUAAAGGAAUGUUGCAGGCUUCCUUUAUAGAGUUGGGCUACGGGCCCGAGUCAAACCAGCCAAGCCGAAGGCCUGGUGUAUCCAUGUGCUCGGCAGGAAAACCCAGAUUGCUGCUGCCAAGGUCCAAACGCCGAAAUGAUGUCAUCCUAAGGAGGGUCUCCACAAGGCUGGGCUUCAGGUAGGGGUGGGUGGGAAAAACUGAAAACUGAAAAAAACCGACAACCGAACCGAACCGAGACCGAAAAAAACCGAACCGAAAAAAAAACCGAACCGAAUCUGUUGAACCGAACCGAACUGAAUUUAGUUGGUUCGGUUUCGGUUUUUGAGGUAUGAAAACCAGACCGGACCGAACCGAACCGAAAUAUGAAAAUAAAAUAUAAAUACUCAAAACCUGCUGGAGAGAAGAUUCGAACCCCUUCCGUCCAGGUUGGGGAUAACUUCCUUCAAACCAACUUGACUGUAGGCUUUGUAUUGCUAUAAUUGUACCAGUAUAAUAUUUAUAGGUAUUCUAAUCUUAAUGUUUUAUAAAAUUUAUAAAGUUCACAAACCCUAGCCGUCAUUCAUUUUCUUUUCAUUCUCAAAUCUCUCCUCUCUUUCUCUCAUCCGUUGCGCUUCCUCAGUCUCUCGCUCCCCAAAAAUCAAACGCCGCGGCAAACAGGCGUUGAAAAAUGGAUGGGGGAGUUUCGGCGCUGCUUCCGACGUUGCAAGUGAAGGCGAUGAUCCUGAUCAACUCCGCCUUGUCUGAUGACACGCGUACUGUGGUGGAUUCGGUGGAGUUGGAGCUCACCGACAUGGACCUCAAAUCCAUCUCCUCCAGGUCCUUGCCCGACCCGCAUACCCUCCGAAAGUCCUCUCACCUCCUCGGCCCCAAAAAAAAACGAACCGAAAAAAACCGAAAAAAAUUUGGGCCGAACCGAACCGAACCGAAAUUUCGGUUUGGUUUCGGUUUUGGCAAAAAACCGAACCGAUAAGAACCGAACCCAGCCCUAGCUUCAGGCCAACAUGGUGGUCCUUGUGGUUGUACCACGGCGAUGGUGCUGCAAAAUCCCAAUAUCCAUUCCUUUUUUUUUUUCUUUUCGAAAUUUCUAGGGUUGUAGAAACCCUAAUAUGCUUCUAAUUUAUGAAUAUACUUUGACUCACAAAUUCCACAUAACGAUUUAAUUGUGUAAUGCAUGAAAUAAAUAUAUGAACAUAUACAAUAUAUAUAUAUAUAUAUAUAUAUAUAUAUAUAUAUAUAUAUAUAUAUAUAUAUAUAUAUAUCGGAAGGAAAAUAUAAACAUAGGGGGGUUCAUGCAUAUUGGGGAAUGUUUUCAUGCUUCAAGGUCGUUUGAAAUAUCUUACUUUAUUUUAAACGUAUCUGAUUGGCAGAAAACAAUAAAAGUCUUUGAACUUGUAGAAUAUCCUUCUCAUAAAGCCGGAAUUGCAUCUCCAAUGCAUUGUAUCACGUUCAACACAGAAAAAAUUAAAUUGAAUCAAUAGCAUGUAGAUCAAUUCAAAAUAAUAAAUUAACCACAAAAAGAAUGAUUAAAACGUAAUACUCCCCUGAUUGAAGAACAAAAACUCUUUAGCACAGUGUUAAGAGCGUGGUGAUAACGUGUUGUGGGCAUAAUUUACUGAACAAUUAUGCAGGCCAGAGAGAGGGGGAAGGUGCGACAAUAAUAGAGAGAAAGAGAGAUGUGUAAUUGUGGGUGUGUUCUAUGUAGGCCUGACAAUUCAUGACACGACCCGAUAACCCGACACGACACGACACGCCACAAAAUUAACAGGUGUUCAGGUAGACACAAUAACAAAUCAGGUCGUUAUCGUGUAACCCGAUAAGUACCUGUUAAGAUAACAAGUUGGUUCGGAUAUACAUGUGGGUAACACGAUACACGAUAAGCAGAAUAUUAAUUUUAUAAUUUUAUAACCCUAGAAAAAUACUAUAAUAAUUAUCUAUUCUAUUAAGAGAACCCUUCUUGUCAACUUUUUGCCAUUUUUUUCUAAUUUUGCCCUCACUUUUGAUACACAAUACUUACAUAAGGAGGACAAAAUAGUAAUUUUGUAUCUUUUGAGAAAAUGACAAUCAUAUCCCAUUUUUCCUAUUUUACCCUCACUUUUGAUGCUCAAAAUUUACAUAAAUGAGGCAAAAAGAAAAAGAUGCCCUUAUAAAGAGAUCACAUCAUCAUUGGCUCAUACUCUUUUUAAAAAUUUUAAAAACUAAUCACACUCCUUAAUCAAAAACAAAAAAGAAAAUGAAAUUGUUCACACACAAAGUGUGUGCUCAUCUUCUAGUAUAUAUUAAUUUAACAAUUUUAUACCCUAAAAACUAUAAUUAUAUAUAUAUAUAUAUAUAUAUAUAUAUAUAUAUUAAAUUAAAUAUUAAAAAUGGUGACCAUUGGAUCGGCUUAAAUAUACAUACCAUUCAAUUUCUUAAGUGUUAUACAUACAAAAUAAAUAAAUUUAAAUAUACUUAAUAAAUAUAUAUACCAUUGAACUUGAUGGGAUACGAAUCUACGAAACUAAUUUCAACGAUAUAACCGUCAAAUUUGUUUGUAUAUGCUUCGAGAUCACAUCAGCAAAAACUCGCAAAAAACAAACAUUUAGAGAUCAAAUAACGGGACAAAACUUUUCGACGGUUAUCAACGAAAAAUCACGAUUUAACGGUUAUUUUAACUCCGAUUUUGAUAAUUUUUUACAACUACACUCCUUGACCCUAUAUGAAUACAAUAAAUGAACUCGAUCUUCAAUUUAAAAUAUUUACACUAGUGGAUACCACAAAAUCUUAUGUUAUAUUUAAUGAAAAUAUGAAGAAACUCUUAAGUGUUAGUGAAUCUAUUGUUUUGAUGGGAUACGCAUUCUACGAAACUAUUUUCAACGAUCCAACUGUCAAACAUGUUUGUAUAUACUUUAAGAUCGCAUAUGCCAAAAAUUGCAAAAAACAUACAUUCAGAGAUCAAGUAACGGGACAAAACUUUUCGACUGUUAUAAACGAAAAAUCACGAUUUAACGGUUAUUUUAACUCCGAUUUUGAUGAUUUUUUACAGUUACAUGAUAGGAGCAUAUUUAUGCGACUGAGUUAACUUGUUCUCAUGCAUUUAUGUUGUUAUUUCUUAGUUAAUUAUGUAUUUGAAGCUAUUUUCGUGUGUUUGUAGGUCCAUAGGCCUUAUAAAUCAAUAAGAUGCAUUUUGGAGCAGUUUUGGGCUUGGAAUGAAUAGCACAUGCAUGGAGCAAGAUGGAUGGACGAAAUUGAAGACUAAAGAGGCUAGGAAUGUGUUAAAGAGAAAGAAGAAUUAAUGUAAAAAGGACAAAUAGCUCAGCCACAAAGGGGUGUCACUCCACCAUUCACCUUUCCAUCAUUGCCGUGCACCACCAUUGCACUCCCUUUGGAAUCCUAUGUCGUGCAUCAUCAUCCAUGUUCCCUCCAUUGACUCAUUUGUUGCAUCAUUCCACUUCCUUUCCUUUGUCUACCAUGUGCACAAUAUCCUUUCACCUCCUUGCACUCAUUGAUUCACCACUUACUCACCUUUCCACCUAUGCCAUGCAUAAUCAUCCUUGUUCCCUCAAUCAUUUUAGAUUUCAUGCAUCAUUGCACUCAAUUGCUACACCACUCCAUGUUCCCCCCCCCCCAAUUGCCAUGCACUUCCUCUAUAAAAGGAAGUGUGUGUAACAUAAAUUGAGUUCAUACUUGGUUAGAUCAUUCACUCCCAUUUCAACACAACCUUCAUCCAAACACAUCCAUUCAUCUUCACAUCCAUUCCUCCAUACAAACAAACCUUCAAACACUCACCAACACCUUGUGCCGUAGCAAAGGAAGGGAAGGAAAGUGCUUGGACGUGCUUGCUGUCCAACUUGGAUCGUUUGAGCGUUUAGGUAUGUUCUUUCUUUUGUUUCUAAUGUUUAAAUUCAUUUCGUUUUGUUGUAAAUAUGAGUGGCUAAACCCCUCUUGGCUAGGGGUGAUUUCAAAGCCAUGAUUAUGUGUACAAUAUAAUUUGAUAAAUUCCAGUUAUGAACUCUUGAAUCGUGAAUGCAAUUGGCUUAACUAUUUGAUUGAUAACUUAUUUGUAUUUGUUAAUUAAGGGUCGACACUUAAUUGGCAUGCAUAAAUCCGUUGCUAGAAUAUAAGAAAGUUUCACAUAAUCGUUACAAACUUAUAUUCAUAAGUAGUGGAGGUCGCUUAUAAACGAUCGCGUUAAGUUUAAUUCUAGUAUGAGUAACAUGAUGUCAUAGUUGCAAGUGCUUUGUCAAUGCUUAUGAUUUUCAUUAAACGUAAUGAUCUUUGAUUGUAUCUCUAUUAUGAUAUCAUGUAGGGAACCUUAGAAGAAUGUUUUGGGUUGUUGAAUGAUGUCAUCCAAUCCAAUAAAACAAGGAAAAUCUAAGAGUUAACUAGUGAUGUCACGGUUAAUUUGGAGCAUUGUCGUUCAUAAUUCAAUGAAGUAGUAACUGGAAAUCGAGUUAUCUGCAUACAUGUCAUGUGUGGAGAAAAAGCCUCUAGCUAUCCCAUCCAUCAUCUUAUUUCUCAAAUUUGUUUUACAAUCUAUCUAGUUUUUCAUACUUGUUUGUUUGUUUCAACUUCGUCCAAAACUCAAUCCCCCUUUACUUUAGUGUAUCUAAUUAGUUAGAAUUUGUUUUAAUUUUUGUUUUUAAAUGUUUUGAUUCAAGUAAAAGUCAAUUUUCGUCCAAAGUCAUUCCUAGUGUCUAGUUUAAGUUUAUUUGGUUGUUUUAAGCUGUUUUGAGUAUUUUAAGUUUGCUUUGAGUCUUGUGAGUCUUGUUAAGUGUUUUUAAGUUUAAUUUUAUGUUUUUGAAUCAGUUUAGAGGUUAUUAGCAAGCCCUCCUAAUUCCCGGUCCAGAACGAUCCCUACUUAUACUUAUACUAUAAUUGUCAAAAGAGGGUUAAAUUUGUGUGUUAAGUUAAUUUUUUCACCAUUACACUCCUUGACCCUAUAUGAAUACAAUGAAUGAAUUCGGUCUUCAAUUUAUUGACACUAGUGGAUACCACAAAAUCUUAUGUUAUACUUAAUGAAAGUAUGAAUAAACUCUUAAGUGUUAGUAAAUUUAUCGUUUUGAUAGGAUAUGCAUUCUACAAAACUAAUUUCAACGAUCCAACCGUCAAACUUGUUUGUAUAUGCUCCAACAUCGCAUAUGCCAAAAAUCGUAAAAAACAAACAUUCAAAGAUCAAGUAACGGGACAAAAGUUUUCGACGGUUAUCAACGAAAAAUCACGAUUUAACAGUUAUUUUAACUCCGAUUUUGAUACAGCUACACUCCUUGACCCUAUACCAAUACAAUGAAUCAACUCAAUCUUCAAUUUAAAAUAUUUACACUAGUGGAUACCACAAAAUCUUAUGUUAUACUUCAUGAAAGUAUGAAUGAACUCUUAAGUGUUAGUGAAUCUAUUGUUUUGAUGGGAUUCGCAUUCUACGAAACUAGUUUCAACAAUCCAACCGUCAAAUAUGUUUGUGUAUACUUCAAGAUCGCAUACGCCAAAAAUUGUAAAAAACAAACAUUCAAAGAUCAGGUAGUGGAACAAAACUUUUCGACGGUUAUCAACGAAAAAUUACGAUUUAACGGUUAUUUUAACUCUGAUUUUGAUGAUUUUUUUACAGCUACACUCCUUGACCCUAUACAAAUACAAUGAAUGAACUCGAUCUUCAAUUUAAAAUAUUUACACUAGUGGAUAUCACAAAAUCUUAUGUUAUACUUAAUGAAAGUAUGAAUAAACUUUAAGUGUUAGUGAAUCUAUUGUUUUGAUGGGAUACGCAUUCUACGAAACUAGUUUCAACGAUCCAACCGUCAAACAUGUUUGUAUAUACUUCGAGAUUGCAUACGCCAAAAAUUACAAAAAACAAACAUUCAAAAAUCAAGUAACGGGACAAAACUUUUCAACGGUUAUUAACGAAAAAUCACGAUUUAACGGUUAUUUUAACUCCGAUUUUGGUGAUUUUUUACAACUACACUCCUUGACCCUAUAUGAAUACAAUGAAUGAACUCGAUCUUCAAUUUAAAAUAUUUACACUAGUGGAUACCACAAAAUCUUAUGUUAUACUUAAUGAAAGUAUGAAUAAACUCUUAAGUGUUAGUGAAUCUUUCGUUUUGAUGGAAUACGCAUUCUACGAAACUAAUUUCAACGAUCCAACCGUCAAACAUGUUUGUAUAUAUUUCGAGAUCGCAUAUGCCAAAAAUUGCAAAAAACAAACAUUAAGAGAUAAAGUAAUGGGACAAAACUUUUCGACGGUUAUCAACAAAAAAUCACGAUUUAACAGUUAUUUUAACUUCGAUUUUGAUGAUUUUUUACAGCUAAACUCCUUGACCCUAUAGGAAUACAAUGAAAAAAUUCGAUCUUUAAUUUAAAAUAUUUACACUAGUGGAUACCACAAAAUUUUAUGUUAUACUUAAUGAAAGUAUAAAUAAACUCUAAGUGUUAGUGAAUCUAUUGUUUUGAUGGGAUACACAUUUUAUGAAACUAAUUUCAACGAUCCAACUGUCGAACUUAGUUUAUAUGCUUCAAGAUCACAUACGAAAAAUCGCAAAAAACAAACAUUCAGAGAUCAAGUAACGGGACAAAACUUUUUGACAGUUAUCAACGAAAAAUCACGAUUUAAUGGUUAUUUUAACUCCGAUUUUGAUGAUUUUUUUUACAGCUACACUCCUUCACUCUAUAUGAAUACAAUGAAUGAAUUCGAUCUUCAAUUUAAAAUAUUUACAUUAGUGGAUAGCACAAAAUCUUAUGUCAUGAUGAUCGAUGAAAAUUGAGGGGUUUGUAAAAGGAAUAACAUGCAAGCUUUGAGUUCCAUUGGCAAGGUUUAAACUUUUGAGAAAGGCUUCACAACCUUGAAAGCAAAAACUCUUUCAUUUUGCAUAUCCUUGCACAUUUCAUAUUUUGUAAUAGACUAGUUGUGUAUGGAUGUUUGUUUAUUAGACUCUUAUUUUCGAGUGUAGAUGUAGUACUUAAACAACAAAUGUAUUUUAAUGUUUUGAAGUAAUAUUUAUGUGGCAAUGUGUGGUAUGUGCAAAUUUAAGAAAAAAAAUAUUUUUUUCUUAACGGGUCAUAAUGGGUCAGGUCACUUUACCCGUUGGGUAAAGUGACCCGACCUGUUAAGGACUCGUUAAGAUAACGGGUGUGACACGACACGACCCGUUAAGAUAACAGGUGUUACACGAAAACGACACAAACACGACAGACACGACCCGUUUGCUAGGCCUAGUUCUAUGCCAUCCCAUUGUGCCUUUAUUUAUAGUAGUAGCAUAGGUAAAAACAUUUCCCUUUAGGAUUACAACAUUUAAUAGGUAAUCUACUCCUAAUAGGAAUAUAAAAGAUAUUACAAGAUAUACUUGGAUUUACACAAUCACAUUCAUAAUCUAAUAGGACUGCAACAAAAACCAAUUUAUUCCCGUAUUUUUUAAUGUAAACAUAUUUCUCUGCAUGGAAAAAGAAUGCUAAUUUAUAUGGAAAGGAAAACGAAUUUUACUUCUUUUUUCCACACCUUUAUUUAUUUAUUUAUGUUUAAUGAAGGAUCUAAAAAUAGAUAGAGUGUACAUAGACACAAAAAAAACAAAAAAACAAAAAAACAAAAAAAACCAGAGUUUGAAAAUCCCUUGCCUCGUGAAAAAUGUCAACAACUUGAAGCCCGUGUGAAUAAGCCAUUUGUGGAGUAGCUGGUGAUCGGAGGUGAAAUGUCAAGUUCAAAACCUUAAAUUAAACCAGAAAGAGAUAGAAGGAAACAACCGUGCACAGGUACACGUACGUGUAUGGGGAAAAUGUCUUUACGUGGUCAAAAAGGAAUUUUGUGGAGCUUAACAGAUAUGUUAUAUAUGUAUAUAUGUAUGUAUGAGUGUGUGUGUGUAUUUUCCCUUGAGUAUUUAAAAGGUAAUGCACACUCACCAAUAAACUUGAUGUAUAUUAUAUGUUAUUCAGAAUCUUUUUAUAGUGAAUUUGAAAAACCACCAUAAAAACUAUAAGUGGAUGGAUGAGCGUUAAAGGUACUGUAGUUAGUUCACUUCAUUACACGCAAAAUCAAUAGUAAAGUUCUUUUCUCAGACUAUAUAAUGACGACAUAAGUAUUUUAUGUUUUUAAACUAUGAAUGUAGACCAUUGAUUAAAGUUUACCAUGUGCAGAAGUCAAAGAUAAUGUAGUGAAGCCAACAAGGGUUGUUUCAGUUGGUAAGGAUCGCUCUCUUCACUAGAUUAAGGCCAAGGUUCGAGCCCUGAUACACCAAAUACCUCUUGGUGCAUGAUUUGUGAAAAAAAAAAACCAAAAAAAUGCGCUAAGACCCCCUUUGCAAGUUCUCAAAAAGAUUUGUGGUGUACCUGGCCAUGGGAUGGGAUAGCUUCCGCUCCCAAACUUUUAACAAACAAACAAACACAAAAAACUUAAUGUAGUCACUACAAAAAAAAUAAAAAAUAAAAAUGACUUUCCCGACUACUAUGCUAGUGAAUUUUAUCGUCAAGCAAGGUCAAUUUUCACCGGAAAAGCAGCAUAUCCUUAUUAGAAAAGACCUUUCCCGACGGCCACAGUAAAUUUAGCUAGCACAGAUCUCUCACCGUGAAUCUAAGAUGACGAAAGAGUAACGCCUGUAGGGAAUAUGUUUGCCGAUAAAGGCAAUCUUUCUCGACGAAAUAUUAUUCUCCUAAGCUUUUUACCAGCAAAAUUAUUUGACUAGAAUGAACCUUUAUGCUCUAAAAAUAUUUGACAGAAAUGCUUUAGCGGCUAAUUUUUUGCAUCAAAAUACCCCUUUUGUCGACGAAAAUAUGUUUCGUCAUGAUAGAUAUUAAAUUUUGGAAAAAAAAACAUAUAUAUUACUCUAGCCAAACAAGCUGUAGAAGAGGAAAAUAUACUACUUUAUUUCAAUAAGAUACAAUUAUUGAGAGAAAUAUUAAAAAAAAUAGAAACCCUUAAUAUUCAUUCUCAAUACAAAUUCAUGUUUUGAAGUGUAAGUACAUGACUAAUGCUACCAAACAUAAAUAAUCUCAGUUUAUUAUUCUAAAGUUUCUUGGUUUUUAACAUUUGGUACAUCAAGUUUUUUUCAUCCUAGAGUGGUACUUGAAGUCAUAAUUUUGGGACAAUUGCAUACAUCCAUUAAGUUUGUUGUUAAAUCGGCCAUUAAUUGAUGAUAUGACACCCAUGUAGACAAUGAUUGGGCCUUAUGUGUCAAUAUGGGCUUAUGUAGAUAUUAAAAAUAAAAAAAUAAAAAAAUUAUAGAAAUAAAAAAAUUUUGGGCAGUCUCUUACCCCAUCCCGACCCUCCCUCCCUUCUCUCCUCAGCACCCAUCAUUCCCCCUCCCUCUUCAACUCCUCCCACCCAACCCUCAUCUCCUAUUCGACGGCCCCGUGAGAUCGAACCUCCAGGCCCCGCUUACCAGAUUUAACAGUGGUGGAGAGACCCAUAUUCCGAUUCCACGAACCCGGGUUGUCCCGUGUCAAGCCGGAGUAGUUGGAGAGGAGAUCGAGGUUGUUGGCCGGUGGGAGCUGUCAGAUGUGGAUCCAACGGUCAAUGCAGUUAGAGUUGGAUUAACGAUGGUCGAGAUUGUUUUUGGGGACUUGGGUCGAGCUUAAUUGAAUGGUGGUGGUGGUAGAAGAGAAGAAAAAGAGGAAUGAGGUGGUGAUUUGUCACGCCCUGACCGACGAAUAAGGACUAUUUAAGAGCUAGGGUGUGAGUCAUAUCUUAGCAAUAGAAAUAAAUUCUACAAUCAAGAUAUGGUGGAAAAUAAAAUUAAAUUACAACGAUUACACCAUACAUCAUAUAAAAUCUGACAUAAAAUUUAUCUAAUACGCAGCGGCAAAACUAUUGUGCACAAAUUAAUUCACAACAAAAAGUACCAACAAAAUAAUAAUGAAAAUGUAACAAUUCUUUCAAAUGCAUGAACACUACUACAAAAGGGCCUUAUUGUGUCGGUGGGUGGUGUCGCUUUUAUACAACAUAGUGGUGGAUAAGACAUUCCGACACCCACUUAAUAUGGUGUCGGAGUUACUGUCGAUUAUAACCGGCAUAAACUAUUAAUGUCGCUUAUAAUCGACAUUGAUUUUAAUAUUUUUAAUACUGGUGCCGUAUUAAAAAAAAAAUUGUGUCGCUUUUAACCGACAUAAUGUUAGCGUCGGUUAAAAGACAACUGAUGUCGCUUCUGGGCGACACUAAUGAUAGUUUUUAAAUAUUUUCAAAGAUAGUGUCGGUUAUUGCUGACAUUGUGACGACCCGUCCCUAAUUUUCAUAUGUAAUUUAUCCCCGAGUAUGUAAUUUGACGAUUAUGCCCUUAUUGGCAAGUAACGUGGACUUAUUCUUAUCGCUUUCAUUUUAUUCUCGCUAUCGCAUUUAAUUGCACGUUGUUGCGGGUGUACGUAAAUAUUAUUAGUACGAAAAUACUAUUCUGGAUAGAUUUUCGCUACACUUUUCUGUACAAAAAGUCUAAAGCCUAUUCCUAGCUUCUACCUAGUCCAUCCCGUGCACCCUCCUCCAUUAUUUACUCUCUCACCAAUCCCAUCUCUCCCUCAUUUCUAUCCCCUAAUCAAAAAAGAAAACCUCACAUCACUCACUCUCUCUCUCCCUCGCCGAGCUCCCUCUUCCUCUUUGCAACCUUCACAAAAACACACUAAAACUCAUAAACGUGACAAACCAACUACACCAUUAUGCUCAUCUCAGUCCCACGAUCACAACCAUGUUCUUGAAAUCUGGUGUAGACGAGUUUUGACUCACCAACUCGUAAGGUUCGACUCAGCGAGUUCGAUAUAACGAUUUUCAGGCCAUUCAUGGCUUAGGUAAGCCUCGAGAAACCCUUAGAACCUUUAUUUCAAUUCUAUGGGUUGAUAUUGAUCUCUUGUUUGUGUUUUGAAUGUAUGGUUUUACCUAGAAAAAUCAAGAGGAAGAACCUGCACGUUUUUCAAUCAAGGACCGUGACCAUUUGGUCACUUUCAACCCAUUUUUUCGGUCAACCUCGACCACAUCUAGACUUCUAUUAGGUAAAAACUUGUUCUCUACAUUCCUAACUUCAAAAUGUCUUUUGAAUCACUGAGUUUGGUUAAGUAACGAGUUAGAAAUCAACUCUGGAAGUUGGGAAGAAAAUUUCAGUUUUCUGGAAAUUCACAACCGUGGUCAUUUGGCCACUUUCAGGCCAAAUUUCUGAAUAACACAGACCAUAUUCGAACCUUCUGUGAAUUGGGAUCGAUACAUCACAUUCCUAUCUUUAAUUUGGCUUUUGUAAAGUGAUUUUGGUUGGGAAUCGAGCUCGUUAAGAGCCCUGGAAGUUUGCCCAAAAAUCUGCAAAACUGUAGAAAAUCGCGACGAAGGCGAGUACACCUGUACUCACAGGCACGUGGGGGCGCGUGACAAAUCUAUGCAGCCCCUUUAGGCGAUGCGUGAUGGUCCGUCCGGCCUCCGGCCGGCGUGUGGUCGACACGUGUGUAUUCGUGUCGUCGAGUAGAUCAAUUUCAUAUAUUUAAACCCUAGGUUUGAGCAAACUAUGGGGGUUUUAUUUAGGUUUCCAUUAUGUGCUUUAAUUAAUGUUAUUUUAGUUAUUUCACAUAUAGGGGAAACUUAUCUCGAUGAUUUACGAGGCCAAGCUAGGCUCGAAGGCUACUACCCAGCAACGUACUUGUGAGUGGGCAGUUGUUUUAUACCUAUACAUAUUUAUAGUUUCCAUAAAUGCGUAUUUACUUCACUUUUACUCUUAUAUUGCCAAGUAUCGUUAUUGUGAUAUAUAUUGUGAUAAAUGCUGCUAUAUGGCUGAGAUAUUACUGUGAUGACAUUCAUACAUACUUGUGUACAUGCUCAUGUUACUGCACCCUGGUGUUAGUACUUGCCCCAGGGCCAGGGCCAGUCCUUCACGUGUAUGUUCACAUUGCACCGUUCGCUCACCUUGGAUCCAAGUUAGGUGCCAGUCCUGUCGGGUAGAUUGCAUUAGGCAAUCCGACUUGUAUGUGACCGUGCUUCUGCACCAGCCUUCAGGUGAUCGUAGUACUAAAGCAUAUUGAUUACACCCAGUCCUGUUCGUGUCAGAAACUAUCUUUUCGACCUUAUGUGUCUACUUAUGUGGAUGAUCACUUAGUUAUACUUGAUUAUCACAUGAUUAUUACUGUGGCAUUUGAUACAUCAUUACUUGGCAUAUUCCUGGUUAUAUUACUGCUAUAAUAUUAUCGAAUUAUUGUUUAUAUACCUGAGUAGUAUGUUUUAAGGAAACUAUACUUGUUUUAUGUGAGGGGUUAGUAUUUUCAAAGUUAAAGGUUUUCUUAUAAGCAUUGUUUUGCUGACCCACUCAACUUUGUUUUUCGCCCCUCCAAGACCUAGAUUGAUGUACUCUUUGUGGCACUCGAGGAAUCUCGGCAGUUCUGACAUUUCCUUCUGUUUUAGACUACAAACUUAUCACUAUUAUGUAAUAAGUGUACUUUGGUUGUUUUGACUACUCUUCUGUAGUCUCAUUGUCUAUUACGCUCUGAAUAAUUGUAGUGGGUUCAACCCACGAUUGCGCACUCUUUCACUGUUUAGUUCUAAUUAGUUUUAAUUUUAUUCACUUUUUGCAUCACUUACCCUUAUGGUUACGUCACCUCACGGUGAUGGCUAGCAUGCUUCGACCUUUCCAGGUCAGGGUGUGUCAGAUUGGUAUCAGAGCAUAGGUUUAGACAGUCCUGCACUUCCUAGUGUGUUUUAACUCUUGUUUUCUUAUGUCAGAACCAUGCCACCUCGUAGAGAGCCACAUUCUCCAGCUGAGAAUAACUUUAUGGACUUUGGGCAGUUUGGUGAGGCUAUCGCCACUGAUAUUCAAUCUUUACUCCGUCCUACCUCGAGGAAUACUCUGGAUAUUAUAUCUCGCCUGAAGAUUAAUGAUUUCAUAUGUGCAUCCCUUUCUUCCUCCUUUUCAGUUUUUCCUCCUCUUUCCCCAUUGCUAUGGAUCACCAUUUUGAAGAUCAACAUUCUGAAGAACUCCAAUUCGAAGAGGAAGAGCUCGAAGGUGGUUCAUUUUUAAAUUAUUAUGAUUAUUAAUUUUAGUUUCUGUUUUGUAUUCUAACUAGUUUUAUGCUUAAAUUGAUUAUUUAUUUUUGUUUCUUGGUUUUUAAUUGUUUUUUUUUUGUAUUUAUAAGGAUCAACUCAACGGAGAGGUUAGAGAUAAUUCUUGUGCAUUUUCGAAACAUGUAGCGGAAGAGGUUAGAGAUUGCAGAAAUAUUCCGAUGGUGGCAUACUGGAAUAAAGAAAAAACAAAGGUAAAAGUUUCAUGAUUUAGUUUAUUAUACCUUGAAAUUUGUCUAAUAAAUUCUUUUAUUUUUCAGGAGAUUGCCAAAAAACAUAAGCAUAAUAGGUGUCACAUCAUGGCCCGGGCCCCUACCGCAUCCUCGGCUCAACUCCAUCGUAGCAUGAUAUUGUCCGCUUUGGGCCCCAACCAUGCCAUCACGGUUUGUUUUUGAGAACUCACACGAGAACUUCCUAGUGGGUCACCCAUCCUAGGAAUGCUCUCGAGCGAACUCGCUUAACUUCAGAGUUUCUACGGAACCCAAAGUCAGUGAGCUCCCAAAACGCCUCGUGCUAGGUAGAGAUGAGAAUAUACAUAUAAGGCUUAGAGGAUCCACUCCCCUAGGUGAUGUGGGAUGUAACAAUCCACCCCUUUUAGGGGCUCGAAGUCCUCGUCAGCACACCUCCGGCCAGAAAUUGGCUCUGAUACUAAAUUGUCACAUCCCGGCAAGGGCCCCCACCACAUCCCAGGCUCGACUCCACCGUAGCAUGAUAUUAUCCGCUUUGGGCCCCGACCACGCCCUCACGGUUUUGUUUCUAGGAACUCACAUGAGAAGUUCCCAGUGGGUUACCCAUCCUGCGAAUGCUCUCGUGCGAACUCGCUUAACUUCAGAGUUUCUACAGAACCAGAAGCCAGUGAGCUCCCAAAAGGUCUCGUGCUAGGUAGAUAUGGGAAUAUACAUAUAAGGCUUAGAAGAUCCACUCCCCUGGGCGAUAUGGGAUGUAAUAAUAGGCAUUUGAAAACUAUGAACCACACAACUGGUUCAAAAUCUUUGGCAAAAGUUCGGAAAAAAAUUGUAUAGGUUGUGCAUUUUUAAGAAUUGGAGUUAAUUUUAAAUUUAAUAUAUAGUUGGUAGAAAUUUUAUUUUUAAUAUCAAGUUUGUUUAAAAUUGUUUGUUUUUUCAUUGACAUAUGGUGGGAAUUAUUUUUAUAUAAUUAUUUUUAAUUAUUAUUAAUUAAAAACUAACACAUUUUUUUUUAUAUUCUUAAUAUAUUUGGUGUCGCUUAUGGACGACAACAUAAUAAUUAUUUUAUGAAUCUAGAUCUUAUGUAAUGUUGGUUAAAAUCGAGAGUAGUUUAAGUAUUUUAUUUGUUUAAUUGUUGCUUGAUGUCGGUUAAGACCGCCAUCAUGUCAGAAUUCAAUGUCACUUCUAACCGACGUAAGUUUAGAUGUCACUUUUAAUUGACGAUGUUGUUCUUUUUUAUUUAUAUUACUUUGCUUCUUGGUGGCGGAUUAAGGGGACUAGCCGACGUCAAUACCUUUUUCAUGACACCAGCAACAACAUCGAUUCUCCAAUCCGACAUUGCACAAUUUGAUGUCGGAUUUUUACCAAAAAUUCUAUAGUAAUUGGGGUUUCUUGUCGGUUUUUCCACCGCCAGUGAUAGCCUCUUUUCUAGUAGUGGAAAUAGAGCAAAUGAGAUGUAUGAAUGUACCCACUCCCUUCGCUAACACAUACCUAAGGCAUCCAAGCAUGCACGUCCCAUACCAUGCUUAUACCACUUGGCUCCAAAUACCCUAUGUGACAUCCCACAUUGCCCAGGGGAGUGGAUCUUGUAAGCCUUGUAUGUAUAUUCCCAUCUUUACCUAGCACGAGGCCUUUUGGGAGCUUACUGGCUUCGGGUUCCAUCGGAACUCCGAAGUUAAGCGAGUUUGCGCGAGAGCAAUCCCAUGAUGGAUGACCCACUGGGAAGUUCUCGUGUGAGUUCCCAGAAACAAAAAUCGUGAGGGCGUGGUCGGGGCCCAAAACGGAUAAUAUCUUGCUACGGCGAAGUCGAGCCCGGGAUGUGGUGGGAGCCCAGGCCGGGAUUUUACAAGUUUGCACACCUUGUGUUCCAUACCUGACACAACAUUACCUACAAGUUGAUCCAUGUAGAUCUCCUCUUCUAAAUCACCAUUUAAAAAUGUGGUCUUCACAUCAAUUUGAUGAACAACAAGGUUAUAGAUGGAGGCUAAAGCAAUUAAGACUCUAAUUUAGGCAAUUCUUGUUAUCGGAGCAAAAGUAUCAAAAUAAUCCACAUCAUUUUGUUGCUUGUAACCUUUUGCAACCAACCGAGCCUUAUAUUUGUCAAUAGAUCCAUCAAGUUUUAGUGUCUUUUUGAAAAUCCACUUGCACCCCAACGUUUUAGCUCCUGCAGGCAAAUCAACUAACUCCCACACAUACAUGGUUAGAAAUAAUUGAUUCUAAUUCACUGUUAAUAGCUUCUUUCCAAUAAAGUGCAUCGGACGCCGUUGUAGCUUCAUUGUAAAUUCAUGGGUCGCUAUCCACAAUGAAGGUAUAAAAAUCAUCUCCAAAAUUAGUUUCCUUUCUUGCCCUUUUGCUUUUCCUUGGUUCAAAUUCAGAAUUUGCAUUUGUUUCAAAACCUGGCAAUGACUGAGACACACUAACAGACUUGUCAAUAUUGAGCUUCAUAGGAAAAAUAUUUUCAAAGAAAUCAGCAUUCUUGGUUUCCAUAAUAGUAUUAGUUUCUAUUACAUUAAGCUCACUUUUAAUAACUAAGAACCUAUAGGCAGCAUUAUCUUGUGCAUAUCCAAUAAACAUUGCAUCAAAAGUCAUGGAUCCUAAUUUUCUCUUUUUUGGUUCAGGUAAGAGGACCUUGGCCAAACACUCCCACACUUUCAAGUAACCUAAAUUUGGUGAAUAACCUUUCCAUAACUCAUAAGGAGUUUUUCCAGUUUUCUUGCACAUGCUCUAAAACAUCUGCUACACUAAUCAAAUUGACACACCCCGUCCCGAAGGAGGGCGUGAUGGCCGUCACGUGAGUGUGACGUAACCAUUUACACAGUUCGGAAGCUUUAAAAAAAUACAAUUACCAUGAUGAAACACCCGAGGGGGAGUCCUACUUUUGUGACUUCUGUCAGAACACCGCUGGAUUCCUUGUAGCCACCAAAGCUCUGCUAACUAGAACCUGGAGGGGCGCAAAACAAAAUUGAGUGGGUCAGUACAACAAAGUUUUUCAAAAACAUUUCCUUUAAAACAUUUCUAGCACCUCGCUGUAAAGCCCGUAUACUUUCCCAGAAAAUAACAUAAUAAUAUAUAAACAUAUAUAUAUAUAUAUAUAUAUAUAUAUAUAUAUAUAUCAUCAAAAGCUCAAAUUAUAAUCCUUCAACGCUUUUCAGAAAGAAUAUGCCAUGCCAAGCCAUAUGCCAAAAUAUAAUAUGAAUGCAUCAAUAUAAAUCAGGUGAAAUAAUAAAUCAACCGGAGACCCUACAGUGGUCCUGUACGGCUGAUUCUAUAGCUCAACAUCCCAUCUAGCCGGAAUCACCAACAAUGACCUGUACGGCCCUGCCAGAGUCACCAACUGUGACCUGUACGGCACUACACUGCACAUAAGUCGGAACUACCUAUAGUAGUCUGUAUGACUAAGAUGGUGAAAUAAUACGCUCUAGUGCUUCUCUCAUUAAUUAUCUGUGCACAGAAUCUAAGGUCACCUACCAGUCGGAACCCCCCUAAUGGUCUGUACGACUGGCAUGUCGGAACCACCUCUAGUGGUCUGUACGACUAGCAUCUACUUAGAUCCAAGGUGAGCGUGUGAUGCAGGGUGAAUAACAUAAGCACUAACACCAAAGGUGCAGGUUACGAGCUCUCAACAUAAUUCACAUCAUCAUUCAUUCAUAUAAACCAUAUAAACUCACAUGAUACUCACAUGUGCGUCCACAGCACCAAUUCACAUAUAUAUAUGCACCAAUAUCAAUUCAUAUAAUUUAUAAUAUGCAUCAUGGCAAUUGAAAACAUACUUUCAUAUAAAUUCAAUUUCUGGGACAAUUAAUAGUAUAUAGGUAAUACGAAAAACAAAAACUGCCCACUCACCUGGAGUUCGCCCAACAACUCCCUAGCACCACACAUCAAGGCGUCGUGACGAUCAGCGCCUAGAACAAUAAUCAAAUCCAACCUCAGAAUUCAUAUCGAUAGAAUAUAUAACUUAUAUAAGACACGUCACUACGUAGUUCAAUCCGGAAGAUUUGCAACUCAGAUUUCAAAUCCAUAAUUUCCAGAGAUCCACAAUAUACCUCUAGGACAUCACCCUAAAAUUUCAUUACCAUCCAACGGUCGGAUCUCCGUCAAUUUCGAAAACCAAGUGACGGUUAACAUUCUACAUUAUGAACUUACAACUCCAAUUCCGAAAGAUCCGUAUCUCGGAUUCCCGAUCCGUAAGUUCCUAAUCCUCAAAUAUUACGUAUUACAACGUAUCAAAGUUUGGUGACGAUCUAACGGUCGGAUCAUCAAUUCACAUUUUUACCUAACCACGAAUCGUAACGAACUUAGGUUCAAUUACUCAAUUUACGUCCAACAAUUAUCAAAACUGAACCUAGAACCUUAAACACAUGCUAAGAAUGACAUUGGUGGGCCAUUGGCCACGCGCCGCCGCACGGGCCGCCGCGGGUGGCGGUAUGCCGCCCCGGCUCGCCGGAAAAUCCAACUAUUUCCAAAAAUUCUCAAAAAAUACAAAAUCGAAGAUCUCAAUGAGUAGAGUAAAAUUUAUACCUGAGGCCAAGGCCAAUUUGGCCUGGAAACACUUCAAUUUCACCAAAAUCUGUGCGGAACCUAGAAUUGGGUGAGUUCCAAUUCGUCUUCAAAUCAACUCCGUCGUCCCAACCAAUGCUUGGGCUUUGUUCUAGGUUCUAAGGGAAUUCUAAUGGUGUUAGUAAUUGAAAGAAAACAUUUCAAGAUUUGAAGAAUUUGGACAAGAAAGUCGCGGCACCACGGUUGCGUUCUUCACCAAUUCACCAUCAAAUUUCAUGAUUUUUUUGGUGAAACAUGAAGACGGAAGGCCUAGGUGUUGAUUGGAAGUGAUACCUUGAUCCAAUUUGUGAGAAUUCCGGUGAAAAUCGUCGGAAUUUUGGUGUGGGUGUCGCGGGUAAACGGGUUAGGGGAAAACCCGUUUUCUGAUCUUCUCUCCUUCGCUUCUCGCCCUCUCUCCUUUCCUCCUUUCCUCUGUUCCGAUUGGUCGGCUUCUCUCUCUCUCAAUCCCUCCUGAUGCCUUCUCUCUCUUUUCCCGAUUGGGCAUUUCUGCCCAAUCUCCUUCCUUUGUUUCUUCCUCUCACGCACAUACACACACAAAAACCUUCUUUCACUUAUAUUUAUUUAUUUUUGUUUUCCUUACAUCCAAGCCAUCAAUUUAAUUCUUCAUUAAAUCUGGGCCAUCCAAAUUAAUAAUAAAAUUUAUAAAAUGCCCAAACUUCAAACUUUAAAAGCUUUUUCGUUAUAACUCCAAAUAACGAACCGUCAGUGCCCACACGUUCGUAGCGACGAGUACUACGAGAAUAUGUCAAGAAAACAAAUAUUAGAAGGCACGACACAACGAUUAACCUCGAAUAAUGCGCGUACCUCAACGUGCAUUUUUUGUAAAAUCCUUUAUUAAAACUUUAAAACUCUUAAAAUCAGGAACGGGCUGUCACAAUCUACCCACCUUAAAAAAAUUUCGUCCUCGAAAUUUACACAAUCUUUACAAUCCAUCAAUAUCCAUAAAACAACCUGAAACACCUCUCUUAUUCGAUCUUUUGUCUCCCAAGUACUUUAUUCUGCUGAAUGAUUCCACCAUAAAACUUUUACCAAGUACACUGUUUUAUUUCUCAAGACUUCCUCUUUCUAUUCCAAAAUAAUCAUGGGUUCCUCAUUAUAAGUCAAAUCCGGAUUAAUCUCUAAGGGCUGAACCAGAAUCAUACACGACAAAUCUGCUACUUGUAACGAAGCAUCAAAACAUGAACUACAUUAUACACCUUAUCCAAUCCCGAAGGUACUAAAACUUGAAAGUAUUUCACCGAUUCCUUCAAUAGUCAAAGACGGCCUGAUGUACUUAGGAUUUAACUUGUCCUCCAUUUCGACCCGAACCACACCUUUCCAAGGUGAUAAUUUUAAAAACAUCCAAUCUCCUGCAUUACACGUCCAGUCAGUGGCAUGUUUGUCUGCUAAGCUCUUCAGUCGAUCCUGGCUCACUUCCAGGUUAGACUUAAUUACUUGAAUAUUCCGAGUAGUCUCCUUCACUAACUCAGGUUCUAACAAUUUCGAAACACAAGACACAGCUUUCCACGGCCUUAUGGCGUUGCUCUAGGGAACAAACUGAAAUGACCAACAUACCCAAGAAGUUCAACAGAUUCGUAAGCCCAAAUCUCUUUUCCAUAAGACAGAUAAAUAACUGUUGCACUUCUGGAAAGGUUACUGCUCUUUCAUUGAAGAAUACUGCGCUGAUUUAGUGAGCCAAUCCAUUAUCACCUCCAUUUCAUCAUAACCACCUCGUGAAUGAGGAAACUUGCACACAUAUUCUAUAUUAAUAUUUUCUCAUUUCCGCUGUGGAACGGGAAGUAACUACAUCAAUCCAAAAGACUUCUUUAUUUCUGUUUUAACCUGCCGACAAAUGUUACAUUUAUUUAUAUAUACAAACAUUUCUCUUUUCAUACCUGGCCAAUAGUAAAAUGAUCGAAUGGUAUAAUACAUCUUAGUACCUUUAGGAUGCAUUGUAUAAGUUGAACAGUACGCAAAUUCCAAAAUUGCUUCCUUUAAUUCCAUAACAUUAGGUAUAAGCACCUUGUUCUCUUGCAUAAGCUUGCCAUCUGAUUCUCUAACUCUAAGGUCUUUCUUUUUCCCGUUAUUCUUUGCUUUAAAAUAAAUUCUUGAAUUUUCUUCGUCAAACGCUUGAGUCUCGAGUACGACCUACCAAAUAGGCUUAACUUGAAAUUUAGCAAGUACGUUUUCUUUUUGAUCUUCCAUUCCUAACUUUACUCAGGUAGAUCUCAAAUCUACAAGAAGAUGAACAUGGCAAUCGUACCAAGUAUUAAUUCUCGCUGGGGUCUUCCUACUAAAAGCAUUGGCCACAACAUUUGCACGAUCUCCCUGGUCGUGCAAUCAUAAUCACUAAGCAAUACAAUCCACCUUCGUUGCAUAAGAUUAAGAUACCUCUGAAUAAAUAGAUAUUGGAUACUCUUUUGAUUCGUAAAAAUCUUGCAUUUUUCUUCCCAUAAAGACAAUGUCUCCAAAUCUUCAAAGCAAAGAUGAUAGUUGCUAAUUCUAAAUCAUGAGUAGGGUAAUUCAUCUCAUAAGGUUUCAAUUGUCGUGAAGUGUAAUAAUCACUCUAUCAUGUUACAUCAACACACAUCUUAACCCAUUCAAGGAUGCAUAACUGUAGACCUCAUAAUUACCUUUAUCAUCUGGGAGUGCUAAAACAGGUGUAUGAGUGAGAUGAUGCUUCAGUUGCUGAAACUUUGUUCACAAUUUUCAUCCACUCAAACCUAACCUCUUUUCUAGUCGAUCCCGUCAAUGGCAAAGCAAUGACUGAAAAUCCUUUACAAACGUCUAUAGUAGCCUGCUAGACCAAGAAAACUCAGUACCUCAGUGACGGUUCGAGGUUGUUCCCAAUUCUCAACCGCUGCUACCUUUUAAGGAUCCACUUGAAUACCUUAAGCGGAUAUAACAUGUCCCAAAAAUACCACUUGAUUCGUCCAAAAUUGACAUUUGCUAAACUUAGCAUACAACCAAUGUUCCCUCAAACAUUUUAACACCAACUCAAAAUGACUAGUAUGCUUUACUUUCAACAUAAGAGUAUACCAGACCUCAACUUUUUCCUUGAAAACACAUAGGCACCUCUAAGCUGAUCAAACAAUCAUCAAUGCGCGGCAAUGGAUAACGGUUCUUAUUCGUUACCCGAUUCAAUUACCUAAUAUCCAUACAUAUUCUUAAGGUUCCAUCUUUCUUCCUUAUAAACAAAGCCAGGGUUUUCCAAAGUAACGGACUAGGUUGACUGAAACCUUUAUCAACCAAUUCCUGUAACUGAAUUUUCAAUUCCUUUAACUCUGUGGGAACCAAUCUAUAGCAUAAAGUCUGUACUUGGAGACAAUUCAAUAGUGAACACCACAUCUCUGACUGGUGGUAAUCCAUGUAAAUCAUUCCAGAAACACAUUAGAAAAACGUCUACCAUUCGUAUGUCAUUCACAAUACUAGGAGUUCGAUCCUGCAACACCACAUGAGCUAGGUAUCUUUGGCAACCUUUUGAGAAUAAUCUCUUUGCUCUCACAACAGAAAUAACGGCAUGCCUCACUCCACUUUGCUCAAUCACAAAAGUAACCUCUGAUAAUCCAAGACAAUGGAAAGUAACUGAUUUCCCGUAACAAUCCAUAUUGGCACGAUUAUAAUGUAACCAAUCUGUGCUUAAAAUCACAUCGAAAUCCACAAUGUCUAGCGGGAUACGAUUCGCUGGCAUAACUACUUCUUCCACCAUCACUGGACACCCUGAAUAAUCAUAACCAACAUAGAAUGACCUACCCGUUUACUUGCUUAACGAAUCCAACAAAUAAGUUAUAGGUAUUACGAUCUGCAGUCCGCAAUAACGAUAACUCACUGUCGUCUCAAUAAGUAAGCAAAAAUUCUUAAGGGUGCAAUAUUAUCAUUUUACUCCUCACAGGGAAAAUACAUAUAUGCACCUCGAUCGUGCUCAUUCACUACUUCCUUUGGCAACAUCAUCAAUAAUAAGAAUUAGAUCAGCCGGAGUCAGCUAGAAAAACCUGUACGGCUGAGUCUACAGCUCGACCAUCCAUGUUAGCACAUAAGUCGGAGUCACAUAUAGUGACCUGUACGACUUACUCAUCAAUUUUCCAAGUAAUAUGCCAAGGAAGAUUGCUGGGUAACAACUGAUCCCAGGGACAAUUCAUACCGCUAUGCCUCAUCUAACCACAUGAACACAUUCACAACUUCCCACACUCUCCAAAGUGCCUAAUAUUGUACCUACGGUGCAAAGAUACAUUUCCUCUACCAGAGUCACCUUGUCUCUGAAAUCUGGGAUCACUAGUAAAUCUAUCACUUCGUCUCUGACCAGUGGCACGAAAACCUACUAGAAGAAUUAGAAUUAUUUCCACUUUUUUUUUUCUUUUUUUUUUUCUGAAGCUCUGAGAUGACUGACCUUUACCUUGGUCAUGUGAUCAUGUUCUCAGAGUCCUCAAUGCUCAACAACAUCUCGUAAACUCCUGAUAAAAAGUACAAUGAAUAGUGGUCGCCAAAGAACACCACUUCUUUUUAUUAUCCAGCCAAAAACGACAUAACACCUCGACCGGAUUAGCAACAACAUCCGAAUGGAAACAAGGCAAUUCUGUAAACUCUCAAUAAUAAUAUGCCAGAGGAAUGAACUUUUCCUUAAACAAUUCUUUAAACGACUUCCAAACAACUGUUCUUCCGAUAACAUUAGAUAACGUUCCUAUCUCCAUCAGAAUGCAGAUUCAACACUCAGAAACUAGGUAGUCAUCUCGACCCACCUGUCGGGAUGAAUAUUCCCUUGACUUUGCAUAAUCCGAAACGUCUUUUCCCAAAUGAUUAAGCCAUCGAUCUGCUCCCUUAGGUUCAUCAUUUCCCCAAAGUGAUUCAAAUUUAACUUAUAACUAGUGUCAAAAGGUUCCUUUAGAUAAUAGACUGAAUCACAAUGGCAAUAAUUUCCCCCCAAACUACUAUAUCAAAGGAAUUAGGCUCAUCCAAACUACGUGGCUCGCUACGAGGCAGUAUAGUUCUGACAAAAGACACUAGGAAAUUCUCAAGAUGUCCAGAAUUGCAACCUAGGCUCUGAUACCAACUGACACACCCUGUCCCGAAGGAGGGCGUGUUGGCCGUCACGUGAGUGUGACGUAACUAUUUACACAGUUCGGAAGCUUUAAAAAAAUACAAUUACCAUGAUGAAACACCCGAGGGGGAGUCCUACUUUUGUGACUUCUGUCAGAACACUGCUGGAUUCCUCAUAGCCACUAAAGCUCUGCUAACUAGAACCUGGAGGGGCGCAAAACAAAAUUGAGUGGGUCAGUACAACAAAGUUUUUCGAAAACAUUUCCUUUAAAACAUUUCUAGCCCCUCGCUGUAAAGCCCGUAUACUUUCCCAGAAAAUAACAUAAUAAUUAUAUAAACAUAUAUAUAUAUAUAUAUAUAUAUAUAUAUCAUCAAAAGCUCAAAUUAUAAUCCUUCAACGCUUUUCAGAAAGAAUAUGCCAUGCCAAGCCAUACGCCAAAUAUAAUAUGAAUGCAUCAAUAUAAAUCAGGUGAAAUAAUAAAUCAACCGGAGACCCUACAGUGGUCCUAUACGGCUGAUUCUAUAGCUUAAUAUCCUAUCCAGCCGGAGUCACCAACUGUGACCUGUACGGCCCUGCCGGAGUCACCAACUGUGACCUGUACGCCACUACAUUGCACAUAAGUCGGAACUACCUAUAGUAGUCUGUACGACUAAGAUGGUGAAAUAAUACGCUCUAGUGCUUCUCUCAUUAAUCAUCUGUGCACAUAAUCUAAGGUCACCUACCAGUCGGAACCCGUCUAAUAGUCUAUACGACUAGCAUGUCGGAACCACCUCUAGUGGUCUGUACGACUAGCAUCUACUUGGAUCCAAGGUGAGCGUGUGAUGCAGGGUGAAUAACAUAAGCACUAACACCAGGGGUGCAGGUUACGAGCUCUCAACAUAAUUCACAUCAUCAUUCAUUCAUAUAAACCAUAUAAACUCACUUGAUACUCACAUGUGCGUUCACAACACCAAUUCACAUAUAUAUAUGCAUCAAUAUCAAUUCAUAUAAUUUAUAAUAUGCAUCAUGGCAAUUGAAAACAUACUUUCAUAUAAAUUCAAUUUCUGGGACAAUUAAUAGUAUAUAGGUAAUACGAAAAACAAAAACUGCCCACUCACCUGGAGUUCGCCCAACAACUCCCUAGCACCACACAUCAAGGCGUCGUGACGAUCAGCGCCUAGAACAAUAAUCAAAUCCAACCUCAGAAUUCAUAUCGAUAGAAUAUAUAACUUAUAUAAGACACGUCACUACGUAGUUCGAUCCGGAAGAUCUCCAACUCAUAUUUCAAAUCCAUAACUUCCAGAGGUCCACAAUAUACCUCUAGGACAUCAUCCUAAAAUUUCAUUACCAUCCAACGGUCGGAUCUCCAUCAAUUUCGAAAACCAAGUGACGGUUAACAUUCUACAUUAUGAACUUACAACUCUAAUUCCGAAAGAUCCGUAUAUCGGAUUCCUGAUCCGUAAGUUCCUAUAAUCCUCAAAUAUUACAUAUUACAACGUAUCAAAUUUUGGUGACGAUCUAACGGUCGGAUCGUCAAUUCACAUUUUCACCUAACCACGAAUCGUAACAAACUUAGGUUCAAUUACUCAAUUUACGUCCAAUAAUUAUCAAAACUGAACCUAGAACCUUAAGCACAUGCUAAGAAUGACAUUGGCCGGCCAUUGGCCAUGCGCCGCCGCACGGGCCGCCGCGGGUGGCGGUCGGCCGCCCCGGCUCGCCGGAAAAUCCAACUAUUUCCAAAAAUUCUCAAAAAAUACAAAAUCGAAGAUCUUAAUGAGUAAAUUAAACUUUAUACCUGAGGCCAAGGCCAAUUUGGCCUGGAAACACUUCAAUUUCACCAAAAUCCGUGCGGAACCUAGAAUUGGGUGAGUUCCAAUUCGUCUUCAAAUCAACUCCGUCGUCCCAACCAAUGCUUGGGCUAUGUUCUAGGUCCUAAGGGAAUGCUAAUGGUCUUAGUAAUUGAAAGAAAACAUUUCAAGAUUUGAAGAAUUUGGACAAGAAAGUCGCGGCACCACGGGUGCGUUCUUCACCAAUUCACCAUCAAAUUUCAUGAUUUUUGGGGUGAAACAUGAAGAGGGAAGGCCUAGGUGUUGAUUGGAAGUGGUACCUUGAUCCAAUUUGUGAGAAUUCCGGUGAAAAUCGUCGGAAUUUGGGUGUGGGUGUCGCGGGUAAACGGGUUAGGGGAAAACCCGUUUUCUAAUCUUCUCUCCUCCGCUUCUCGCCCUCUCUCCUUUCCUCCUUUCCUCUGUUCCGAUUGGUCGGCUUCUCUCUCUCUCAAUCCCUCCUGAUGCCUUCUUCUCUCUUGUCCCGAUUGGGCAUUUCUGCCCAAUCUCCUUCCUCUGUUUCUUCCUCCCACGCACACACACACACAAAAACCUUUUUUCACUUAUAUUUAUUUAUUUUUGUUUUCCUUACAUCCAAGCCAUCAAUUUAAUUCUUCAUUAAAUCUGGACCAUCCAAAUUUUAAUAAUAAAAUUUAUAAAAUGCCCAAACUUCAAACUUUAAAAUCUUUUUCGUUAUAACUCCAAAUAACGAACCGUCAACGCCCACACGUUCGUAGCGACGAGUACUACGAGAAUAUGUCAAGAAAAUAAAUAUUAGAAGGCACGACACAACGAUUAACCUCGAAUAAUGCGCGUACCUCAACGGGCAUUUUUUGUAAAAUCCUUUAUUAAAACUUUAAAACUCUUAAAAUCAGGGACGGGCUGUCACACAAAUUGUUAGUAGCCAAAAUUGUAUUAUAUUAUCAAUAAUAUAGUAUUGAUAACACACAACAAUCUAAUUGAGAAAUAUUACUUUACCAUUUUACUCCAUCUUUCUCUAGGUGAUAUUGAUGCAUAACCCUAUUUGAGUUCCAUAGAGCAAUUAUGUUGGGUAAGGUCUCAUGCAUUUUCUGGGAUUUGUCUCUCUUAUAUUCCAGCAUUCUCAAGGGAUGUAAAUGGAGAUUUUUGAUGGCUUGGUGGGAGUGUUUCUCAUGACAAUGAUCUCAAAAUGUAAAUGCAUAAACAACACAAGAUUUAAGUGGUUCACCAAAUCGACUACAUCCAUUGGGGUUUGCUUUCAUUGCAUUUCACUAUAUAUGAGAGACUUACAAAUACAAUGAAAGAUGGCUUAAAGCCUUAACAAUAUGUAAAAGAAAGAUAAGAGGUAAUAUGAAAGGGAGAGUGGCUUUUGUUGGAGUUGUUCAUUUUCUUUUUCUUUUUUUCUUCUUCCUCUCUCUUUUCUCCAUGUCCUCCGUUGGUUCUUGCUCCUCCCCUUAUAAAGAUUGCAUGACAUCCUCCUCUCCAAAAAAAAAAUCUCCCAAGUGUGCCGAUAAAAAUAAACCAAGUGUUGUGCCAAUCAUUAGACAUAAAAUGUGUUCCAAUAACAAGGCAACUAGUGUUAUCCUAAUCAUUAGCAAUGAUAAGUGUUUCAGUGGCAAAGCAACAGGUGUCAAGUUAAUCAUGAACAGAUGAAUAUCAUGCAAGAUGGAUGCAAAUAUCAAAGGCCACGUAAACGUUUAUCUCAUGGUAAGCUUCAUAGAGUUCUAUUGGAGUGAGAAUAUUACCAAAUGAUUAAGAUUCCUUUAGAUUGAUGAGUAAGCACUUCUAAAACCACAAACACUGCCUCAUGCAUGCUUAUAGACUAACAAACACAUGCUAUAGACUCCAUCUCUUCACCCUAAUUAUUAGCUUCUAUUAAUUACCAACUUCCACCUCAUCCUUUGGAGAAAGAAUCAAGCUAACUCUACUAGAAAGUUCCCAACUCUUGGAGCUUAACUUUCGAACCCUUUUACACUUCACUAAUUAAAGAUCAAAAAGGCUAGCAAGGGUAACUUAGUUGCUAUUGGCACGAAAAGGAUAAGUAGAAACCCUAACAAAUCAAACUAAUGCAUAUAUAUAUAUAUAUAUAUAUAUAUAUAUAUAUAUAUAUAUAUAUAUAAGCUACACAGUUACUGGACAAAGUUACAAAAUUAUGAUGAGGAUGCCAAAUAAUAGAAACCUCACAAAAGGGAUAAGUACAAACCCUAACAAAUCAAACUAAUGAAUAUAUAUAAGCUACACAGUUACCGGACAAAGUUACAAAAUUAUGAUGAGGAUGCCAAAUAAUAGAAACCUCUCUAGUUGGAGACAUUUGAGUAUAAAAGUACUAAUUAGGCACAAAAAUAUAUUUUUGUGGUGGAAGGGUCCCUACUAACUUACAUGUCAAAAUACAAAUAAUUGUAAAUAUAGUAUAUAAAAGAAAUCCAACAAAAUCAUUACGUUUGAAAUAAAAAUAAUUACCCACACACAUAUAUAAUCUUUUUUUUUAAGGGGUAUUACAUUAGUAGUAACCUGGACUUGGAGGAGGCCGUUGAUGGAGAGAGAGAAAAAAAAAAUAAGUGGGUGGAGACAAAGAGGGAGGGGGAAUGAUGGGUACAAAGAAAAGAAGGGAGGGAGAGAAGGGAGGGAGAGAAGAGAGGGGGCCCGAUUUUUUUAUUUUUAUUUUUUAAUAUCCAUGUGGGUCCAUAUUCACAAAUAGUCAGUGGCGAAGCUACGUGGGGGCGAGGAGUGGCGGCCGCCCCUCAUCUCGCCGGAAAACAUGCCUAGAAGCGCUGGUUCAGCCCUUUCGCUCUCGUCGGAAUUCAUGGCACCUGUAAAAAUUGGAUUUGGUCGGUGCACUGUCUUGGUCGAAUUUGCAGAGGAAGGGCAAUAGUUUGGUUGGAUUUGCAGAGGAAUGACGAAAAUGGAGGAGAGAGGUUGGAGGGAUGAAAGGAGAGAAAGCGGCUACUCCACUACCAGUAAUUAAGCAGUUGCAUAGGUGCUGCCAUGUCAGAGGAGAGAGUUAGGUAUAAGUGGGCUGGGUUGGGUUCGUUGAAGGAGAAAGAUUGAUGGAGAAAUGUUAAAUUUGACCUGGACGGGGAUAAGAUCUGCGGCAUGGGACGGAGGAGAGAGGAACUGUUUGGUUAUAGGUGUAAGGUUAAAGUUGGUUACUUGGUUACAGGCAUAGAGAGUUUAAAAUGACAGAUGGCUUUGAUUUGACUGAGGACCCAAGUAUUUUCCCCUUCUUUUUUUUCUCUUCUAACCCCACCUUUUUUUGUGGUUUAUUAACCCAUUUCUCUUUUUUUUUUUUCUUUUUUUAAUUCUUGUAUUAAUUUUUAUUUUCUCGUUUAAGACUUUCACUUUAUUUUCUCAUAUUAUUUAUAAAUAUUGUAUUUAAAAACAAUGUAAAUAUUGUUGAAUGCUUAUUUUAUGAUAAUUUAAAUCCAUCUAGGCUCCUGCCUAUAUCUCGCCUAGGCACUCCAGUCCGCUGUUUGAUUAGCGCCUAACAUUUUUUAGGAUCUAAUCCUGACCAAUUUAAGCUUCUUACAUUGACUUUGAUAUUAUUGCUUACAACUGUUUUGGUGGAGAGAUUAUUUUCUGCUAUGAAUAUUGACUCAAAACUUUGUACUCUCCAAUGGAAAAGCAACCACGCUUGCACUCUUUUGAAUUUUGCCCCUCUCCUCCGCAAAUCCUGGCUUCGCCACUGCAAAUAGUGAUCAAUUAUUAUUCACGGGAGCGUCAUGUUAUUAGUUAAUGAUUGAUUUAGUAGCACCUUAAUUGAUGUAUAAAAGUGUUUCAAAAUUAUAACGUCAGGUACUACUAUGGGAUAAAAAAACUUGAUGUACCAAAAAUAUUGAAAACAAAAAAAAUUCUGAAUAAUAAACUGAGAUUAAUCCUAAAUAAAACUUUUAUAUAAAGAAGAAAUGUCAAAGAAAUGAAAAAUUUAUGCAGAAUCGUAACCAGUCCUAACUCUCUUUAAAGCCCUAAACAUGAGAAAUGUCAAGAGAAACAAAUCUACAUGAUUGCCUCUAUAGCUAGUUGCUCAGUCAUACUAGAAACUAACCCUAAUCGCCGACAAUCUUUAGAUUUAGCUUCGAAAUUCUUCCCUGUUAAAUAUCAUAUUUAACAGUGAAAGAAAACAAUCACACGGUAAAAUGUUUCACCACAAGAAAGUUAUUUAGUCUGAAUUGAACUUUAGUAUAAAAGUUCAUGUUCUGCCAAAUGGUAGGUCAGUAUGUGGAUUUUUCUAUCUUUUAGAUUUCAAAAUAAUUAUUCUCUUAACUUAUGAUUUGCGCUGGACCAUUUAACAAAAAGAUCAACUGUUCAUAGAAACGAAUUAGAAAGUGACAUACAAACCAAAAGUCUUAGAGCCUAAAUACAACCCACGCAAGACUGUCUUUACUUAAUACAAGUGGUGAAUUACUCUAACAGUCAAAAUCUUCAUCUUCAAUUCAAUGCACUCAUAAUUUAAACUCUCUACGAUCAUAGUUUAAACUCUCGCCACUCCGGGCAUCACACCAUGGGAGUUGGCCAUGCCCAAAGCUAUCUUAACCAUAAGGGUAGGGGAGAUGUCGAAGACAUGAUCGGUGACUAGAGUGAAGUCAUAAUAAAAUUCAAAAUGGUGAAUUACUCUAACAGUCAAAAUCUUCAUCUUCAAUUCAAUGCACUCAUAAUUUAAACUCUCUACGAUCAUAGUUUAAACUCUCGCCACUCCGGCCAUCACACCAUGGGAGUUGGCCAUGCCCAAAGCUAUCUUAACCAUAAGGGUAGGGGAGAUGUCGAAGACAUGAUCGGUGACUAGAGUGAAGUCAUAAUAAAAUUCGAGUUGAUAACAAUUUAGUUGUGCAGGAGAGAAACAUUCCAUUCCAAAAUUGAGUUCAUCAAACAAUAAGAAACUUCUGUAUUCACAAAAAACCCACAAAAGCAGCAUCACCCUCUCUCAACCAACCCCUUUUAUUCUCUUUCUUUUUUUUUCAAGAAACAAAAUAAUUGGCUUCUUCUCGCAAAAUAAAAGGCUGAAAUCCUAUACAUUUUUUUUUUUCUUUUUAAAAUUGUAUCUUCAGAUAAUUACAGUGUCCUCCACAAUUUGAGCAGUAGUGCUACCAAUGCUUUCCCUCCCCUACUUUUCCCACCAUCUCAUCAUCAGACCACCAAUAACUGCUCGCCACGUGUUACCGACACCGCCGCUUGGCCUCCCACUUGCUUCUGCCCCAUCCCUGCUCCCAUUUCCAAUCCGGCUUGAACCGGGCUCGAGCCGUCCGCCUUCUUUCUCCGCUUCGGAGAUCCGUUCUCCGAAGACGAAGAUGACGGUUCGGAUGAUGACCGCUUAGACGUCACCCGCACCGGGUCGGGUUCGCCCGAGUUCACCCGGAGUGGAAAAUUCAACAAAGCUCUGGACCCGCGCAUUCUGUAAGCGGCUCUGUCAUAAGCCAAAGCCGCGUCCUCAGCUGUUUCGAAAGUUCCGAGCCAAACCCUCGCGCCGUUCUUAGCCGGGUCCCGAAUUUCGGCCGCGAACUUUCCCCACGGCCGCUGCCGUACGCCUCUGUAGUGCUUCCCCUUCGCUGGCACCACAGCUGGAACGGCUUCAGCCGACUUCUGAACCGGUUGAACCGGCGCCGCUUUUUUCUCCGGCACUCUAUCCACCGGUGGCAGAACCUCCGGUUCCGAUUUUACCGAAAAGCCGUAGGAACACGUAUCGGCCGAACCGGAUGGAACCCAUCCGACGCUAACGGCGUCCCUCAGUACUCCGUAGAGCACCAUGUCUUCGGAAUCGUCCUCCUUGAGCGGCAAAUCACCCCAAUUCUCGGUCAAACACGGGUACAGGCUACUGAAGCUGGAGCUCCGAGAAAAAAUGGGUCCCGAACCCGAGUUGCUCAUCGGGUUCCCGAUUAGGAGAUCCGUCUCUCCCAGAAAGUGUCGCCGAAUCGAUUCCAGGAGUAUGUAGUCCGAGUCAGCUCCACUCUGUCCGUACAUUUCGCAGCCAAAAAAAAACCAAAAAAUUCGGGUCCGGGUCUUAAACCGAAAUGUGUUUUGAAGUGUAGAGAGAGAGAGAGAGAGAGAGAGAGAGAGAGAGAGAG
rnacentral:lncRNA from 1 species